AAGAACAAGUGGGAAUUAUCGGCCUAUAUGGAUUAGGAGGAGUUGGGAAAACCACCCUCUUAACCCAAAUCAAUAAUGCUUUUACUAAAAGAACCCAUGAUUUUGAUUUUGUGAUCUGGGCAACAGUUUCCAAAAAUGUAAACCUUGAAAACAUUCAGGACGACAUCUGGAAGAAGAUAGGGUUUUGCGAUGAUAAAUGGAAAAGCAAAAGUCGAGAUGAGAAAGCUACGAGCAUCUGGAGAGUCCUGAGCGAAAAGAGGUUUGUGCUGUUGCUAGAUGAUUUAUGGGAGCGGUUAACUUUAUCAGACGUCGGGGUUCCAUUCCAAAGUAAGAAAAAUAAGAUAGUAUUCACCACUCGAUCAGAAGAGGUGUGCGCUCAAAUGGAAGCUGAUAAGAAGAUCAAAGUGGAAUGCCUAACAUGGACAGAAUCCUGGGAAUUGUUUCGAAUGAAGCUUGGAGAAGAUACUCUCGAUUUCCAUCCUGAGAUACCAGAGCUCGCUCAAGCCGUCGCACAAGAGUGUUGCGGUUUGCCACUUGUGCUAACUACCAUAGGCAGGGGGCUUGUAAGAAGACGCCGCAGGAAUGGAAGUAUGCAAUAAAAGUGUUACGAAGCUCUGCCUCAAAAUUUCCAGGUAUGGGGGACAAAGUGUUUCCUCUUUUAAAAUACAGUUAUGAUUGCUUACCCACCGAAGUUGCCAGAUCUUGCUUCUUGUAUUGUUCUCUAUUUCCAGAAGAUUAUCAGAUGCCAAAAAUAAUUUUGAUAUACCAGUGGAUUUGUGAAGGCUUUUUAGGGGAAUUUGAUGACAUGGAGGGAGCACAAAACCAGGGUUACAACAUUAUUGGCACUCUGAUUCAUGCAUGUCUAUUAGAAGAAACUAAUAAUGAUUAUAAAGUAAAACUGCAUGAUGUAAUCCGUGAUAUGGCAUUGUGGAUAGCUUGCGGAACUGGGAAGGAGCAGCACGAGUUCUUGGUGGAGGCGGUCUGUGGGUUAACUGAAGCUCCUGAAGUUGCUAGAUGGAUGGAGCCAAAAAGAAUUUCACUGAUAGGCAACCAAAUUGAGAAACUAACAGGGUCCCCCAAUUGCCCCAAUCUCCUAACUUUGUUUCUUCGGGAUAAUAAUUUGAAGAUGAUCUCUGAUAGUUUCUUCCAGUUUAUGCCAAAUCUAAGAGUUUUAGACUUGACAAGGAAUAGUAUAACUGAAUUACCACGGGGAAUCUCUAAUUUGGUUUCAUUACAAUUUCUCGACCUAUCACAUACUAAAAUAAAAGAGUUGCCAAUUGAGUUGAAGAACCUGGACAAAUUGAAAUGUUUGGGGUUGGUUUCCAUGUAUGAACUUUCUUCAAUUCCAGAGCAGUUGAUAUCAAGUCUUUUGAUGUUGCAAGUGAUUAAUAUGUUCGACUGUGGAAUUUGUGAUGGUGAUGAAGCCUUGGUUGAGGAAUUGGAGUCCUUAAAGUACUUGCAUGAUUUAGGUGUCACUAUAACAAAUGUCUCUGCUUUCAAAAGGCUUUUAAGCCCUGACAAGCUAAGAAGCUGCAUUUCCAGACUAGGCCUCCAGAAUUUCAACGGUUCAAGCUCUUUCAAUAUAACAUCCCUCAGCAAUGUAAAGAAUCUCCAAGAGCUCCAUAUCUCAAACUGUGGCUCGUUGGAAGAUUUGGAGAUUGAUUGGGUUGGGGAAGGAAAGAAAACAGUAGAAUCUAAUUACCUUCAGCCUUGGGUCGGUGGGCAUCGAAAGGUGUUCGAGGUUGAAGGACCUAACAUGGGUUGCUUUUGCUCCAAACCUUAGAAUUCUUGAAAUACUUGAUUGUGAUCAAAUGCAAGAAGUAAUAGGUACCGGUAAAUGUGCUGAAUCUGCAGGGAACGGAGAAAACCUUGGUCCAUUUGCCAAACUCCAAGUGCUUGGCUUAGAUAAUUUACCACAAUUGAAGAGCAUAUUUUGGAAAGCCCUGCCAUUUAUCUACUUAAAUACAAUCUAUGUAGGUAAUUGUCCACUUCUAAAGAAGCUGCCACUCAACGCCAACAGUGCCAAGGGACAUCGUAUUGUCAUUUCCGGACAAACCGAGUGGUGGAAUGAACUAGAGUGGGAGGAUGAGGCAACUCAAAACGCUUUUCUUUCAUGCUUCGUACCUAUUGAAGAAUAAGGGCCUGCAGCAAUCUUAAAGAGGCUUCAAUGUGAUUAUAGGUGAGACCCCUUUCAGAAUUAACCAUCACUUGAUCCUGAAUAGGUAUUGGUCCAAAUAAAGCAGUCAAUUAUAGCAUCUUUUCAUGGUUGUAUAUUCAGAAAAAUGCAAUUCCACUUCAAGCACAAAAGGCAAUUGAUUGCAGGUUUACAAGAGAUCAUCUUCUUGUUGGAAUUCAGAUUCCGUAACCUUUACACAUGUUGGUCAGAUCUGACCUUUAAAAAGUACCCAUAUAAAAAAGCCCUUGUGGCUUUUCUAAUUUAGCUUGACAAGUCAAUGGUAUAUAUUUUUAUGCGAUCUUAUUUUAUUUAGUUGCAGAAUAUAACUUCAUAUGCAAGAAAUGCUAGCUUUCACAACCUUGGCUUGGCAAGAAUCCGUUGCUGUCCGAGGUUGAAGGAUCUGGAUGGCUUAUUUUCAAGCCAAAUGCUCAAUAUGUUGAUGUGACAAGUUGUAACCAAAUGAAACAUGUAAUCGUUUAUCUAUGUGAGGUGAACUGAUGGUGUAUAUAUGUUGUUUCAUAUUGUUUGUGUGAAUUGAUGCAUAAUUUGUUGUGAUUUAGUGUGUACAGUUGCAUCAUAUAAUAAAAAUGGUUUGUGUAUUUGAAUUGCAAUAUGACACUUUUUAUUCUUGGAAACAAUUGUGAGAUGCAUGUGUGUCGAAAAUUUGAGCUAGAUGGCUUUUCUUAAUUGAUCUACUUCAACUGAAGAGCAUGCGUCGAAUUUCUUUGCUUGGAACCAAUAAUAGGUUUACUGGGCUGAAAUAUGUAUUAUCCUCAUAUAAAUAUUGCUUUUCAUGGUUGUAUACUUUGGGCUUCCAAUGUAUAAUUUAAAAAAUAUAAUGGUUGAGUCCGGGUACUCCAAGAUCAGCUAGGAAAUAUGGAGAAGGAACUUUUUGAUGGUCCUUACCUUAUUCUAGUGAAUGGUGAUUCUCAUAGCUUUAAAAGAUUUUUUUACUCAUCAAAACAUUUGUACUAAGCUAAUAUCUAGCUAACACUUGGGCCAUUUGGCUACUCAAAAUUUUUGGCUAGUAUGUGUAAGAGCUAAGUCAAUCUUCUAAGGUAUUAAGUGAAAAAUGUAUUAAUUUCAACUCUCAAGCGAUGAUAGAAUAAAAGUUUAGAUGGCUUCUCAGCUAAUAGUUUGUAGGGAUUUGAAGGGUGUCACAACUUAUUAUCAUUAUAUCCAAUCUAUAUUGCAUUUUGUAAUUACGCUUACAUAAAACUUGUAUUUAUACCCUCAAUAUUUAAAAAGUAUAGUUGGUUGAUAAAAGAUUUAGUAGAAAUCCUAUUAUUCCUAGACACGAGAAAGUUUAAGAAUUUAUAAUGCAUCAACCUUCAAUAGUUAUAUGUAUUUCGUUUGCAACAUCACCCACUCACUAGAAGUAGACCUUAUGGUUAUAUGUCAAGGUAGGUAAUAGUGUUGAUCCCUAGACGCAUGGAGCCUUGAGGAUAGUAAAACCCAAAUAUGAGUAUGAUAUCAAAAUAGAUAAAACGUGUAGCUUCAACCAAAAUUCUUUUCUUAUUACUAUUGUACAUUUCAUAUAGAUGCACUAAAUUUACAAUCCAAUUACACUACCCAAAUUCCACUAUGGCUUCAAAAUUAAACAGAAUCAAUCUUUAUUUUUGCAUGUAUUUUUACUUGGUGUGUUUUUCUCUUAAUUUACAACUCCAUCUUGGUUCUUUAAUAAUUUUCUAGUAUGAAGCUGAGUGAGUUCUUGAACUUAGUUCAGGAUUUUUUUUAGAAUUCUUUGGCCUCAUAUCUAAUAACAAUUUUUUAAUCUUAGCUAUUUCAAAAUUCUUCAAUUGUCAAAUUGUUGUGCCAAUGUGAUAGUUUUGAACUUAUUUCUAUUGUGCAAUUAAAGCAAAAAUAAAAUAAGCAAGAAACAUAAAAAAAACAAGGUUUAACAUGGUUACUUGGUUAUAUUUAGAAUUUACUAUUUUAUAAUGAAUAUUAUGAAAAGAAAACAAGACAAAUAUACAAUUUUAAGUUUGAAAACAAUAUCAUAUUUUCCUACUCAUAAUGAAUUUAAGUGCUAAACAUAUAGUUAGGAAUGGGUUAGAGGAUCCAUUUCAAAUUGUUUAUUAUAUAUUUCUAUUAAUCUUGAUAAGAUUUCCAUAUUUUAAAAAUUGCAUUUUUGGAAAGAAAAGCAUCACCAUAGUUGAAAUUUUUUAUUAUUUUGAAACUAUCUUUUGAAUCAAAGAUUAAAAAAAAAGAAAAAAGGAAUAAGAUCAUAUUAAUUUUUUCAAUUUGCUUUUGAAUUCCUUUUAUAACUUUUCAAUUUUUUUAUUCAUUUUUGUAUUAAUUUUUUUUCCUUUGUCCAUAUAUCAACUUUCUAGAUGUUUAUACUUCUCCAUUAAUGUUAUUACUCUCUAUUUUAACAUCUUAAUUUUUUUUCUUAAGUUUAUUGUUUCAAAACAAGAAGGGUAUAUAAUGACUUAAAGAAAAUAUAAUGUUAAUUUUUAUUAGAGAUGUAUUUAAUUUUCAGGUCUGAUUUACCAUGUAAUUAUUUUAACUUCAAUCAUUCCAUUAAAAAUUAUAUAAAAAAUAGUGGAGGAGUCUAAAAAUGGGCUGAGAGAGGCAAGGCAUAGGUAUCAUCUGAGGGUAGGUAAAUGAACAAAUUACUUGUGUGGGCUAAUGGUAAUUAUUAAAAUUCAUGUUUUAUCUUGAGAAAGGAAACAAAUCCCUCUUUGUACAAAAAUUUUAGGGGAGAACUCACCCUAAUCAGGAUGGGUAGACCAUAAUUGGGCACCAUAACUAAGGGGUCCCAUUGGUUCCCUCCUCUCUUUCUCUCUCUCUCUCUCUCUUUUUUUUUUUUUUUGUAAUAAUCAAAUACAACUUUUAAUGCUUGUAAUGGGAAUGGAGUGUAGGAUGUAAACCAUCAAUUAAAGUUUAUUCAAGAAUAAUUGUAAGAGGAUUAGAAGUCUCUCCUAGUAUAAAACCAUUUCCUUACAAUUAUUAUAUAUAUAUAUAAAACAAAUUUUUGAAAAUCAUUUUUAAAAUCUAAUAAUCAUUUUAAGUGGUUCCUAGAUAAUUUGUAAGUAGAUGGUUUUAUCCAAAUAAUUAUUUUAUUAUUAUAAUAUAACAUUAAAUCACUAUUUUGUUUAUAUUUAAAUGAUAAGUGAUUGUAUUUAAAAUUAGUCCUAAUGUAACCAUUACUUAAAAUCACUUUUAAAAAUCUCAAAACAUAACUCGAAGUGAUUUUUAAACAAUCACUUGAUAAAUAUUUCUUCUAUUUUUUUUAUAAUACUUUAUCAAAAAAUACUAGCAAAACGUUUUUUUUUUAGUUUGUAUUUGAAUGCUAAGGUAGCAUUUAGAUAUACUUUUUAUUCUAUUUUUUUAAAAAAAAAAUAAUUGAUUUUUUUUUUUUAUAUAAAAUAGAAGAACUAUAUCACAUAAAGCAAAAGUUUAUCAUGUGUUCUUUAAAAUUUUUUCCAAAACUUUGAGAAAGUGAACAUUUUUUACUUUCUUAAAGUUUAAAAAUUUCAAAAAGUCUUUUCAAAUAUUCAAGGUAUAUACUUACUUUUGUACAAACAUUCCUACAUUUUUUUAUAAAGUUUUCUAUUUUAAAAAUAAAAAUAGGAAAUAUAUCCAAACAUACGUUAAGGGAUUCUCUUUAAAAAUGUUUUUAAUAGAAGCGCUACUAACAAAAAUAGUGCUACAAAUAAAAAUAAUUUUUUUUUCAAUGUUUCAGAUUACCGAAAGGAAUAAGGGAAUGCAACAUUAUGGAAGAAGCUUAAAAAUGAUUUUUGUUUAGGCUUAUUUUAUUUGCAAUCUUGCAAUCUCAUGCCCCAAGUGUUCUCAUUCAUCAAUUUCAUUGGUAAAAUAUUAUUAAAGAAAUUAAAUCAAGAACCCUUUUCAUAUUUAUAUUUAAUGGAUGGAGCAUUAGCUUAGCUAAGGGUCCCACGUGUGCCCCAUCUCUCUUUAACAAAUUCAACUUCAAUAAUUCACUUUCAACUUGGUGUGUCCCAUCAGACCCCUCAACCACUUUCUAAUCCUUCAUUUCCCUCUCUUCUCAUCAAUUUUCCUUUAAUAUCUAGAAAUACAAGCCAUUCAUUUUUGUCAUUCUUCUUUCUUAUCCUCUCCUUAGAAUUUUAAAUACAUCAUGUUUGUCGUCUCCAUCUCUACCCUUUCUUUAAUUAGAGUUUAUUUAGGAAUAAUUUUAUGAGGUUUAGAAGUGCCUCCUAAUAUAGAAACACUUAAAAAAAAUUAACAAAAUUUUAAAAAUCACUUUUAAAAUCUAAAUAACCAUUUUAGAUGGUAGAGUACCUUCUAAAGAGGAAAACAUUGAUUAUAAAAAUAAUAUAAAAUAAAAUAAAAACAGCUCCAAAAUCUCAACCUAACAAUAAAUUCAAGUGUUGAGAUUCCAAAAUAAGGAAAGACUUUAGAAGUUAUCGAAGGUGUCUUCUUUUCACAUUUCAAUUAUUAUAUUUUCUCAUACACUUUCUUCUAUUCACAUUUCAAUUGUUGAAUUUUCUCAUUGAUUGAAGUAACAAUUAAUGAGAGAAGAAAGUUAAGAGUAAGAGACAAUUCAUCUCUCUCUCUCCCACUAAAAUGUCUUCAAGAUAUUAGUUUGUUCAUAUGUACUUUCAAACUUUAAAAUUUGGAUGGAUUCACCUAUACUUUCCAACUUGAUUAAUACAGUCUACCAAGUGAUAGAGACUAAGUUUUAAAAGUUGUUUUUCCUUUGUUGUAAAAUUAUUUGUCUAGAUAUUUUGAGUUAAGGUCAUGGUAUAUUCCACUUAAUGAUAAUUGUAUUCCUCGUUAGAAAGUAUUCAACAUUAUUACAUAACAUGUUUAUAUAAAAUAUCCAUCCAUUCAUAUUUCGUUAUCUUAAAAUUUAAUAAUAAAAAAGAAAAUUAUUUGGAUUUGAAAAUAAUUAACAAAAAGUUUUAAUCAUUAGAAAAAUAAAUUUUAUUUGUUUUCAAUUAGCUGAUUCUUAACCCUACCACAACAUAAAUAAAAAAUACUUUCUAACAAUUUGGUGCAUUGUCAAGUAAUUUCCAAUUUCUAUAAUAAUUUGGUGCAAUGUCAAGUAAUUUCCAUUUUUUUUUAAAUAAUGAUGCAUUUGCUAGGUAAUUUCCAAUUUGGCCAUUAAAGCAUAAUUGCAAAUACCAAAUUGGGUAAAAAAAUGUUAUCAAUUUUAAGGAAAGAUCUUAUGACACAUUUCAUUUUACAUUUUUUUUUCUUGAUUUUAGGUUAUUAUGUCUACAUAAUUCUUAUAUUUUCAUUUUAAAAACUUGAUAAUUGGAUUGGCUUUUCAUUUGAUUUUGCAUUUUUUUUCUUCUGGAUUUUAGGUGAUUAUGUAUACAUAAAUUUUAUAUUUUAGAUGAUUUUAAAUAUAAAACAUUUUUACUCUAUGAUAAUUUUUGUUUAUCUUUUUCCUUUUUAGCUUACACCUCUCAACAUCUUAUUUGCAUUUUAAGCUAAGGAUGUAAUUUCAUAUGCAUGGCAACAUCUUAACCAUGAAAGGGGUUUUCUAAAAAAAAUAAUUUAAAUCAAAAUUAAGAAUAAAAUAAAUAAUAUCUUCUUUUUUAUGAGACUUGAACUAACUUAUUUCUUACCAUUUUCGUAUUUAUAAAAAUAAUAAUAAAGGAUACAAAAAGGAAAUCUUAAUCAGACAAAUACUUUCACCUAACAAUUAUCAUUGCAUCGUGAAUAUUUGAAAAUCAUAGUAGUAAAUAUCAUAAUUAACUAUAAAUAAAUAAACAAUUAAAAAAAAUUACAAGUUUGGCAUUAAUAUACCUUCCAAACAACUAACAUCUUAAAAUGUAUAUGAACAUAUACUAAUUAAUUCUCUUUAAAAAUGUUUCUAAUGGAAGGGUACUAACAAAAAAGUUGCAAAUAAAAAUACUUUAAGCAAAAUCCCUCUUAAGCAAGUUUUAAGUUAUAAUAAAUAUUUUUCUUCAAUAUUCCUAAUCAUCCAAAGAAAUAUGGGUCUACAACAUUAAGGAAGAAACUUCAAAAUGAUUUUAGUUUAAUUUUAUUUCCUUUGCAAUCUUGCAAUCUCAUGCCCUAAAUGUUCCCAUUCAUCAAUUUUUGGUAAAAUUUUAUUAAAAUUAAUAAUUAUUAAAAAAAAUUAAAUUUAAAACAUUUUAAAAAAAUCAUAUCCAUUUAAUUACAACAAAAUAAAACUUUCUUGUUAUCAUGGUAAAGUAACUCCAAGAGAGAAAAUAAUUGGUUUUCAAAAAUAAAAAAUAAAUAAAAAAAACUUCGAAAAAUUUCAAAUGUUCCAAAAAUUCUAAAAAUUCCAAAAUCCAAGUUUUGUGAUCUCAAAAGAUGGAAAGACUUUACAAGUUAGCGACAAUUUCAAAUUUUCAAUUGGAGUUGUAAUAAAAUUUAAUUUAGAUUGCAAAUCACCAUUUCAAUUAAUCUCAUUUUUUGUUAAUCCAAAUAGCAGUUAAUAUGAGAAGAAUAUUGAAUAAGGAACAACUCAUCUCUCUCUAUAAAAAAUGUCUUCAAGAUUUUAUUGCAUUCACAUAUCCUUUUCAACUCAAAUACUAUUGUCCCCCUAAUAAUAGAGGUCAUUUUCUAAAAGUUUUCUCACUUAUUUUACAACCAUUAGUUGUUCAUACAUUUCAACCUCGGGAUAAGGUAUAUCCUUCUUGAUAAUACUUGUGUUAAUAAUGAGAAGGUAUUCAAUACAUAUAUUCUACCACAUUAUAUUAAUAUAGUAUAAAUGUCCAUUCAUAGUUAUCAAAUCAAAACUUAAAAGGGAGGGGAAAAAAAAAGUUAUUUGGAUUUGAAAAUAAUUAAUAAAAGCUUUAAAUUAUUGGAAAAGGGAGUUAUAAAAAUUAUAUUUUAAUAAAAUAACUUAAUUAUCAUUUUAUUUAUUUUCAAUUAAUUUAUUCUCAAUAAUAUCCAAAAUAUAAAUAAAUUAUUAUAUCACAUUAGUAAGCAUUAUAAUACCACAUCAACCAGCUUAGAACAACAAAGAUACCCAAUAUUGAGCCCCCAGCCCCUUCCAGCCUCUCACUUUCCCCACCUUCUCCAACGUCUCUCUGUGCCUUUUUUGCCUUUUGUCCCAUUCAAUGCCCUUCACUCUUCUCCACCACUACGGCUCCACCGCACUCCUUCUCAGGCCUACUUUGGUCAAAUCAAAUGUCCUCAAACUGUAUCCAAGCCUGUAUUUAGGUUUAAUUUUGUCCUGUAGCACUAAAAAUUGAAAAGCGUAGUUGAAUUCCUUUUUAAAAUCUUUUUUAAAAAUCUCAAAAUUAAUUAUUUGGAAUUGUAUUGCGGCCAUAGUAGCUAUUGUAAUAUUACGAAGGGAUAAAGAAAAAGACAAAAAAGCAAUGGAGUCUAAAACAAUUAGCGGAUGGAGCAUGAUUGAGGCAAAUUAGCUUAGCUAAGGGUCCCAUGACUCAUUUCAUUUGGGUCUUGCAAUCCUAUGUUCUAGCUGUGCUCAUUCAUCAAUUUCAUUGGUAAAAUAUUAUUAAAAAAAUUAAAUUAAUAACCUUUUUCAAAAACCAUAUCUAUUUAAUACAAUAAAAUAAAACUUUUCUAAUCAGGGUAGAAGAAGGUGAUAGAGUAACUUCUAAAAAGAAAAGAAUUGAUUAUAAAAAUAAAAUAAAAACACUCUAAAUAAAACCAGGAAAAACUUUAUAUAGAAAAGGAAAAUUAAGUAAGAUAGAUUAGGAGUAGCAAAUAAAAAGAAAUAUUUAUUUUAAAUAUAGUUUUUAUCUUCUCUAUUUUAAACAUAGUUUUAAAAAGCAAAAAAUUUAUCUUGCUUUUUUCAAAACUUUUUUUCAAAAGUUUGAGAAAAUAAAAAUGUUUUAAUCUUUAAAUUUUAAGAAUUUUACAAUAUUGUAACUAUAAAAAAUCUUUUAUAAUGUUUUUUGAAUAAAUACUUGAUAGGUGGUUAUAUUAAAAACACUUUUGGAUACAAUAUUUCCAAUAAAAAUACUUCUAAUAUUGCAAAAAGAUUGUCAAUGGACAUAGUGAUAAUAAUUGCAUUUCCCACAAAUUUUCUAGAAACCAAACAUAUUAAUGGGGAUUACAAGUCGCUUGGAAUCAAAUUAAGUUACAAUGCAAACAUAUUUUCUGAAUAUGACAAUGAAGUGGAAUUGGAAAGUAACAAUGCAAAUCAAAAUCAAAACUUAACUACAAACAGUUUUUUGCAGCAUUUGAUCAAGAAUUCAUGCAACAGUUCUGAGACCAAAUCGUAAAUAAACUCUUUCAAGUGUUUAGUUAACUUGUCAUUUUUAGCUUUUUACCAUUGUAAGAAAUGCAAUGUUUAGAUAUUAGCAUAAAAUGUGAUGUCUUCAGAGAUUUGAAAAUAUGUACUUGAAUUGUUAUGUUUUUUCUUUAAUUUGAUUUAGGUUUUAUCAAUCUAUUAUUUUUCAUAUUAUUAAGUUUAAAUAUUUUAAUUAUAUAAAAAAUAAAUAUAUUAAUUAUUUUUUGUAAGAAUGAUAAUGAUAAAUUAUUUAUUAUAACAAUUUUAUUAUUUUGAACUUUUUAGAAAUAAGUUAAAUUAUAUUUUUUUAAUACAUUAAAAUAUUAAGAUAUUGGUUUUUAGUAUAUAUAAAAACAAACAAUUUAAUAAUUAAUAGAAAUAAAAUAUUAAAAAAAUAAACAACUUAAUACUUAAUACUAUUAAGCAUUAUUUAGUAUUAAGUUAAAAAUAAGUUCUAUUUAGAAUUAAGCCAAAAAAACAAACGCCACCUAAGUUUGUGACUUUUCUAAUUUAGCUUAAUAUGUCAAUGGUAUAUAUUUUUAUGCAACCUUAUUUUGUUUAGUUGCAGAAUAUAGCCUCAUAUGCUAGAAAUGCUUCCACAACCUUCUUUUAGUAAGAAUCCAUUGUUGUCUAACGUUGAAGGAUUUGGAUUGCUUACUUUCGCCCCAAAUGUUCAAUAUGUUGACAUGGUAGACUGUAACAAAAUGAAACAUGUAAUUGUUUAUUUAUGUGAGGUAAACUACUGGUGGAUGUAUGUUGUUUCAUAAUGUUUAUGUGAAUUGAUACAUAAUUACUUGUGAUUUAGUGUUUACAGUUGCAUCAUAAUAAUAAAAAAAAGGGGUUUGUGUAUUUGAAUUGUAAUAUUACACAUUUGAUUCUAGGAAAUGAUUGUGAGAUGCAUUCUACAAAGUGUUUCAAAAAUUUGAGCGUAUAAGCUGGUAAAGAAUACAUGUGUUGAGCUACCAAGGAAGUAAUAAGGAAAGGAAUUGACCUGCCUAUUCCGAUUGAGGAGAACAAGUGAGAUCCCACUUCCUCAUGAAUUUAUCUUGAUGGUUCAAUAAAUGACUCACUCAAUGGUUAGUUGGUUAUAAGCCUUGGAAUGAGAAAAAAAAAGUCUCAUAGUGAGUCUUAGGAUUGUAUAACCCUUUUAACUCAUUUAUAUUGUGCAAUAUAAAAAAGCAAAGAUAAAAUAAGCAAGGAACAUAAAAGACAAUGUUUAACAUGGUUGGUCAAUUAUAUUUAGAAUUUGCUAUUUCAUAAUGAACAUUAUGGAAAGUAAACAAGACAAACAUAUGAUUUUAAGUUUGGAAACAAUCUCAUAUUUUCCUACUUAUAAUUGAAUUUAAUUGCUAAACAUAUAGUUGGGAAUGGGUUAGAGGAUUAAUUUCAAAAUGUUUAUCAUAAUUCUAUUAAACUUGAUAAAAUUUCUACAUUUAAAAAUUACAUUAUUGGAAAGAAAAGUAUCAGUUAUUGAAUUUUUUUUUUAUUAUUUUGAAACUAUCUUUUGAAAUCAAAGAUGAGGGGAAAAAAAAAAGAAGAGAUUUAUUAUUUCAAUUUGCUUUUGGAUUCCUUUUUAUAAUUUGUCAAUUUGUUUGUUCAUUUUUAUAUAUAUAUUUUUUCCUUCGUUCAUUUAUCAACUUUCCAAAUGUUUGUACUUCUCCAUUGUUAUUACUCUCUAUUUCAACAUCUUAAUUUUUUUUCCUAAGUUUAUUGUUUUAAAAUAAGGAAGGGUAUAUAAGCAGUGAUUUAAAGAAAAUGCAAUGUUAAUUUUUAUUAGAGAUGUAUUUAAUUUUCAAGUCUGAUUUACCAUGUAAUUAUUUUAACUUCAAUCAUUUUAUUAGAAAUAAUAUAAAAAGUAGUGGAGGAGUCUAAAAAUGGGCUGAGAGAGGCAAGACAUAGGUACUUAUCCGAAGGCAGGUAAAUAAUGAACAAAUUACUUGUGUGGGUUAAUGGUAAUUAUUAAAUUCAUGUUUUAUCUUGAGUAAGGAAAUGAAUCCCUCUUCGUACAAAAAUUUUAGGGGAGAACUUAUCCUAGUCAUGACGGGCAGACCAUAAUUGGGCACCUUAACUAAGGGGUCCCAUUUGGUUCCCUAUCUUUUUUUUUUUUAUCAAAUACAACUUUUGAUGCUUGUAAAGGGAAUGGAGUGUAGGAUGUAAACCAUAAAUUAGAGUUUAUUAAGGAAUAAUUGAAAGAGAAUUACAAGUCUCUCCUAGUAUAAAAACAUUUCCUUACAAAUAUAUAUAUAAUAAAUUUUUGAAAAUCACUUUUAAAAUCUAAUAAUCAUUUUAAGUGGCUCCUAAAUAAUAUGGGUUUUAUCCAAAUAAUUAUUUUAUUAUUAUAAUAUAACAUCAAAUUACUAUUUUGUUUAUAUUUAAAUAAUAAGUGAUUGGAUUUAAAAUCAUCCCCAAUGUAACCAUUAUUAAAAAUCACUUUUAAAAAUCUCAAAAAAUAAGUCGAAGGGAUUUCUAAACAAUCACUUGAUAAAUAUUCCUUCUAUUUUUUUUUUUGUUUUAUAAUACGUUAUUAAAAUUUACUACGAAAACAUUGUUUUUAGUUUGUAUCUAAAUACUAAGGUAGCAUUUAGAUAUACUUCUUAUUCUAUUUAAAAAGCAAAGUUGAAAUUUCUAUGCAAAAUAGAAGAACUACAUCACAUAAAGCAAAAGUUUAUCUUGUGUUCUUUAAAACUCUUUUCAAAACUUUGAGAAAGUGAACAUUUUUUACUUUCUUAAAGUUUAAAAAUUUUAAAAAGUGUUUUCAAAUAUGAUUGGUAUAUACUUACUUUUGUAUAAGCAUUCCUAUAUAUAUAUAUAUUUUAUAAGGUUUUCUAUUUUAAAAAUAAAAAUAGGAAAUAUACCCAAACAUACACUAAGGGAUUCCCUUUAAAAAUGUUUUUAAUAGAAGCACUACUAAUUAAGGUAGUGCUACAAAUAGAAACAUAUAUUUUUUCAAUGUUUCAUAUUACCAAAAGGAAUAAGGGAUUGCAACAUUAUGGAAGAAACUUAAAAAUGAUUUUUGUUUAGGCUUAUUUUAUUUGCAGUCUUGCAUACUCAUGCCUUAGAUGUUCCGAUUCAUUAUUUUCAUUGGUAAAAUAUUAUUAAAAUGAAUGAUUAUUAAAGAAAUUAAAUAAAAAACCCCUUUCAUAUUUAUAUUUAAUGGAUGGAGCAUUAGCUUAACUAAGGGUUCCAUGUGUGCCCCAUCUCCCUUUAACAAAUUCAACUUCAAUAAUUCACUCUCAACUUGGUGUGUCCCAUCAGACCUCUCAACCACUUUGUAAUCCUUAAUUUUUCUCUAUUCUCAUCAAUUUUCCAAUAUCUACCAAAAUUCUUCUUUCUUAUCCUCUUUUUAGAAUUUUUCAUACAUCAAUGGGAAAGUCUGCUCUAUCUCCAUUUCUGCCAUUUCUUUAAUUAGAGUUUAUUUAGGAAUAAUUUAUGAGGUUUAGAAGAGCCUCCUAAUAUAGAAAGACUUAAAAAAAAAUUAACAAAAUUUUAAAAAUCACUUUUAAAAUCUAAAUAACCAUCUUAAGUGAUUCCAAUACAAUCCCUAACUAGAUGAUUCUAUACAAAAUACUCACUUUUUUCUUAUAUCCAAAUAAUAAGUGAUUCUAUUUAAAACUAUUAAUGAUGUAACCACUAUUUAAAAAUCACUUUUAAAAAUCUCAAAAAAUAACUUAAGGUGAUUCAUGAGCAAUUAUUUUAUAGGUCAUUCUUUUAAAAGUUAAUUAUUCUUAUUCGAUAAUACCUUAUAAACAAUACUAUUAAAACAUUUUUUUUUAGUUUAUAUCUAAAUACUAAGAUUUUGGAUAUGCUUUCGAUCUAUUCAAAAUAUAAGAAAUCUAACACAUAAAGAAAAAAAAAUUAUCUUGUUUUCUUUAAAACUUUUUUCAAAAUUUUGAAAAUUUUGAGAAAGUGCAAAUUUUUUUAAUCCUUAGAUUUUAAGAAUUUUAAAAAAUAUUUUUAAGUAUAUAAAAUAUUCAUUUACUUUUGUAUAAGAAUUUCUAUAUUUUAUAUAAGACUUUCUAUUUUAAAAAACAAAAAUAGGAAAUACAUCCAAACAUAUACCAAGUAAUUCUCCUUAAAAAUGUUUAUAAUGGAAGCGUAACUAACAAAAGGGCUAGAAAUAAAAAUACUUUAAACAAAAUCACUCCCAACCGAGUUCUAAGUUAUAAGAAAUAUUUUUCGUCAAUAUUUCUAAUCACCAAAAGAAAUAAGGGACUACAACAUUAAGGCAAAAGCUUCAAAAUGAUUUUAGUUUAGCUCAUUUCAUUUGCAAUCUUGCAAUCCCAUGCCCUAAAUAUUCCCAUUCAUCAAUUUCAUUGAUAAAAUUUUAUUAAAAUUAAUAAUUAUUAAAAACCUUUUUCAAAAAUCAUAUCCAUUUAAUCACACAAAAUAAAACUUUCUUGUUAUCAUGGUAGAGUAACUCCAAGAGAGGAAAGAAUUGGUUUUAAAAAAAUAAAAAAAUAAAAAAAACUUCUAAAAUUUUUAAAUGUUCCAAAAAUUCUAGAAAAUUCCAAAAUCCAAGUGUUAUGAUCCCAAAAUAAGGAAAGACUUUACAAGUGGUUGACAAUUGCAAAUUUUCAAUUGGAAUUGCAAUAAAACUUAAUUUAGGUUGCAAAUCACCAUUUCAAUUAAUCUCAUUUCUCAUUAACUGAAAUAACAGUUGAUAUGAGAAGAAAGUUGAAUAAGGAGCAAUUCAUCUCUCUUUAUAAAAAAAAAUGUCUACAAGUUAAGUACAUUCACAUAUAAUUUACGUACCUAAUACUUUUCAAUUAAUCUAAAUGUCUUCUCACUUCUUUUACUACAAUUAGUUGUAUUACAAGGUAUUUUAGCUUGACAGUCAAGUGUAUUCUACUUAAUAAUACUUGUAUUAGAAGGUAUUCAAUUCAUCUAUUCUACCAUUAGUAUGUUAAUAUAAUAUAAAUUGUCCAUUCAUAUUUUAUCAUAUCAAAACUUAAAUAAGGAAAAAAAAUUAUUUGGAUUUGAAAAUAAUUAAUAAAAUCUUUAAAUUAUUAGAAAAAUGAAUUAUAAAAAUUCUAUUUUAACAAAAUAACUUAAUUAUCAUUUUAUUUAUUUAUUUUAGUAAGUUUUAUUAUACCACAUCAACAAGCUUGAAACAACAAAGAUACUCAAUUUAUUCUUAUUAAUGUUUUCAAUUUGACCAUCAAGGUGUAAUUGCAGUAAUUUACCCUUUUUUUUCUAGGUUUUGAUGAUUAUUAAUGUUUACAUAAUUCUUAUAUUUUAAUUUUAAAAUUGCAAAACGGGACUAGUUUUUCUAUCAAAAUUUUUUGAGUGGACAAUAAAUUAUAAUUGAAUGCAGAACAUUUGUACAAACAAAUAAUUUAAAAUCCUGAUUAAAAAUAAAAUAAAUAAUAUCGUCUUUUCAUAUAUUACUUGAAUGAACUAAUUUCUUAACAAUUUUAUAUAUAUAUAUAAAAAACGUAAAUCUAAUGAGACCGGACAUAGGAAAUAUGAACUUUUUUACCGAGUCUACCCAUAUCAAUUGUAAUUCUUGACCAUCAAGCGGUAAAUAAUAUAGCCAAUUAAAAAUUUAGUUAUGUAGAAAAGAAAUCCCACCAGCUUCAGAGUGAAGUGAUAUACCUUUAAAUAAUUCAGAGAGAGAGAGAGAGAGAGAGCAUAGCUUUGCUAAGGGCCCCAUGUCAACGACUUUGUGCCCCAUCACCUUUUUCCUUUCGUUCUCUUCAUCAAUUUCCCAAUAUUUGCAAAUAAAAGACAUUUCUUUUUUCCUACGAAUUUGUCAUUCUUCUUUCUUACCAUCUCCGGGCCCAUGUCCACGACUUUGUGCCCCCAUCACCUUUUUCCUUUCGUUCUCCUCCUCAAUUUCCCAAUAUCUGGAAACAAAAGACAUUUCUUUUCUCCUACGAAUUUGUCAUUCUUUUUUCUUACCUUCUCCGGCCCCAUGUCCACGACUUUGUGCCCCCAUCACCUUUUUCCUUUCGUUCUCCUCAUCAAUUUGCCAAUAUCUGCAAAUAAAAGACAUUUCUUUUCUCCUACGAAUUUAUCAUUCUUCUUUCUUACCUUCUCCUUGGAAUUUUCAUACAUCAAUGGGAAACGUGUUCUCAGUCUCAAUCUCUACCGAGGACAUAGCUGGUUGUUGUUGUGAUUACACUACUUCUCGAGCAAAUUACCUAUGAAAGCUUGAAGAAAAUCGGGUUACUUUGAGAACAGAUCUUCAAAAAUUAAGGGAGUUGAAGAACGAUGUGAAUAGGAAGGUGGAUGUGGCUGAGAGGCAACAAAUGAAGCGUCUGGAUCAAGUACAAGGAUGGAUUUCCAGGGUGGAAGCUAUGGAAACCGAAGUUGGUCAACUGAUUGGAGAUGGUGCAGAGACCAUUGAGGAGAAACGAUUAUGUGGCAGUUGCUAUCCCAAGCAUUGCAUCUCCAGCUACACGUUGGGAAAAAAAGUGGUCAGGAAUCUACAAGAUGUGGCUACUUUAAUGAGCGAAGGACGUUAUUUUGAGGUGGUGGCUGAUAUUGUACCUCCAGCUCCUGUGGAGGAAAUACCCAGCCGACCCACUGUGGGCUUGGAAUCAACAUUUGACAAAGUUUGGAGGAGUCUCGAAGAAGAACAUGUAGGGAUCAUCGGCUUAUAUGGGUUGGGGGGCGUUGGGAAGACCACCCUCUUGACACAAAUCAACAAUCAUUUCCUUAAAACAUCCCACAGUUUUGAUGUCGUAAUUUGGGUAGUGGUCUCCAAAACUCCAAAUCUAGAGCGGGUUCAGAAUGAGAUUUGGGAGAAGGUGGGAUUCUGUGAUGAUAAAUGGAAAAGCAAAAGCCGCCAUGAGAAAGGCAAAGACAUCUGGAAAGCCUUGAGCAAAAAGAGGUUUGUGAUGUUGCUGGAUGACAUGUGGGAGCAAAUGGACAUGUUAGAAGUAGGAAUUCCACCUCCUGACCAACAAAAUAAGUCUAAGCUGAUAUUCACCACUCGAUCUCAGGACUUGUGCGGCCAAAUGGGAGCUCACAAGAAGAUAGAAGUGAAAUCUUUAGCAUGGAAGGAUUCGUGGGAUUUGUUCCAAAAAUAUGUGGGAGAGGAGACCCUUAAUUCUGAUCCAGAAAUAUCUGAGCUAGCUGAAAUGGUUGCAAAAGAGUGUUGCGGUUUGCCACUUGCGAUAAUUACCAUAGGGCGAGCCAUGGCUUCUAAAGUGACACCCCAAGAUUGGAAGCAUGCAAUUAGAGUUCUACAAACAUCUGCUUCAAAUUUUCCAGGUAUGGGGCACCAAGUAUACCCACUUUUGAAAUACAGCUAUGAUAGUUUGCCCUCCAAAAUAGUUCAAUCUUGCUUCUUAUAUUGCUCUUUAUUCCCCGAAGAUUUUUCCAUAUAUAAGGGAACUUUGAUAUGGACAUGGCUUUGUGAGGGGUUUUUAGAUGAAUUUGAUGACACGGAUGGAGCUAAAAAUCAAGGAUUCAACAUUAUUAGCACUCUCAUUCAUGCAUGUCUACUCGAGGAACCUUCAGAUACUAAAUGUGUAAAAUUGCAUGAUGUGGUACGUGAUAUGGCCUUGUGGAUAACUGGUGAAAUGGGGGAGAUGAAAGGCAAGCCUUUGGUACAAACAAGGGCUGGUUUGACCCAAGCACCUGAGUUUGUCAAAUGGACUACGGCAGAAAGGAUUUCACUGAUGGACAACCGAAUUGAGAAGUUAACAGGAUCACCCACAUGCCCCAACCUCUCGACACUUCUUCUGGAUUUGAAUAGCGAUUUGCAUAUGAUAAGCAAUGGUUUUUUCCAAUUUAUGCCCAGUCUAAGAGUGUUGAGCUUAUCAAACACGAAAAUAGUUGAGUUACCAUCAGAUAUUUCUAAUUUGGUUUCAUUGCAAUAUCUUGAUUUAUCUGAUACAGAGAUAAAGAAGUUGCCAAUUGAGAUGAAGAAUCUCGUAAAAUUGAAGGUUUUGAAUUUGCGCUCCACGUCUAAUCUCUCUUCAAUUCCACGAGGACUAAUAUCAAGUCUUUUAAUGCUGCAAGCGGUUGGCAUGUACAAGUGUGGACUUUAUGGUCUAGUAGUUGAAGGAAGCAUUGAAUCAUAUGGUAAUGAGUCCUUGGUAGAAGAAUUGGAGAGCUUGAAAUACUUGACAGAUUUAAGUGUCAGCAUAACAAGUGCCUCUGAGUUCCAGAGAUUUUUAAGUUCCAGAAAGUUACCGAGUUGCACUCUAGCAAUCUGCCUCAAGAUGUUCAAAGGUUUAAGCUCACUCAACCUAUCAUCUCUCGAAAAUAUGAAGCAUCUCAUUGUGCUUGCGAUGGAAGAUUUUGAUAGUUUGAGAGAGAUUAAGUUUGAUUGGGCAGGGAAAGGAAAGGAAACAGUGGAGUAUAGCAAUCUCAACCCAAAGGUCAAAUGCUUCCAUGGCCUUCACGAAGUGGUUAUUAAUAGAUGCCAGAUGUUGAAGAAUCUGACAUGGCUUAUUUUUGCCCCAAACCUCCUAUAUCUUAGAAUAGGACAAUGUGAUGAAAUGGAAGAAGUGAUAGGUAACGGUGCAAAUGAUGGAGGAAACCUGAGCCCAUUCACAAAACUCAUACAACUGGAGUUAAAUGGUCUACCCCAACUGAAGAAUGUGUACUGGAAUCCCCUGCCCUUUCUUUACCUUGACAGAAUUGAAGUAGUGGAGUGUCCAAAGCUGAAGAAGCUACCACUCAACUCCAACAGUGCCAAUCAAGGUAGAGUUGUGAUAGUAGGAAAGCAAGAGUGGUGGAAUGAGUUAGAAUGGGAGGAUGAAGCUACUCUAAAUACUUUCCUUCCUAGUUUCCAAGCAAUAUAAGAACAAGGGGGCUAAGGUAUGAUUCCAAUUAAAAUCAGCCAAAUAUAAUUGGAAUGUGUAUUAUUCUUUAAUUCAUUAUAUAAUUAGUUGCCUAUCGUUUGCAGGAUUUGAAGGUAUGACAAAUGUUUGGGUGUUUGUUGUGGAUGUGAGGUAAUGCCUUACAUUUUCAUGUCUUGAUACAAAUGGUUUUAAUUUCCUCUUUUUUGGGACUUUUUUUUUCUAUUAAUAUUUAUGGAAUUAAUUGAGAUAAUAGUUUCAAGUUUUUGUCAUGCUUAAUCAAAGAUAAUACUUGUCUCUACAAUUUUAUUUUUAUUUUUUUUAACAUGUUUACUUGAAGCUCCAAAUCCAAUUAUAACGAGAAAAUGUACAAUUUUAAAAACCAUUUCCAUACUCAUACUUUGAUAUCUAUUUUAUCCUUUAAAAUAAAAUAUUCCUAUGCUUUGGUAUCAACUAAGAAUGUGUUUGGUAAUGAUUUUAAAAAAUGAUUCUACAAUUUUUAAUACUUGAAAAAUUAAAAAAAAAUUAGUGUUAAAAAAACCAAGAACACUUUUUAGAAUUACUAUCAAACGCACUUUAAAUCUGUGAUUUACAAAAUUACAAGGUUGAUUACAAGAAAAUGCUACACUCAGUUUAAGUCUCAAAUAUGCUAGCUCUUAGUUUUUUGACUUUCCAUUUCACUCCACUCUUGUCAUCUCAAGUUUCAAAUUAGAGGUGAAAGAACAAAAAAUAAAUGUAUAAUUUAGUGUCCAAUUGGAUAUAUUUAUAAUUUAUUUAUAAAUAUUUAUUAUUUUUAGUAAAUAUUUUUUCUUUUAUAAAGCAUAUUUAAUAUAUUUGAUUAUUUAAAUUAAGUUAAUAAAUUAAAUGAACUCAUCACCUUGAUCUACCAAACAACCCUUGAUUUUUUAGAGCAAUUUUUCUCUAAAGUAAUUAAUUUUCCUCGUGAUUUGGAUUUGUUGAUUUCAGCUCUUUAUUUAUUUAUUUAUUUUAAAAAUGGCUACAAAAUAAAAGAUAAAUAAAGAUCUAACUUGAAUGUGCCACGUCAUACAGAAAAAAAAUUGAUACAAUACUUUAAGCUUAUAUAUUGCUUCAUCUUCAGAGCAGGUAACGAUUUGAAAGAAAAAAGGUCAGUUCUCCAACUGCUUUUGCGUUGGAAGACUUGACUUGUAUCCCGUUCACUUUCACACUCACUAAGGUGGCUUCUAAGAAUACUUGAUUAGAGUGUUUUACACUUCGUAGGUCUUCCGCUUUGGACAAAAUAAAUAAAUAAAUAAAUAAAAAUAAAAAUUCAGAGUUUCCUGAAAACAAAAUAAAUUUACACUUAAUUAAACUUUAUAAUUUAAUUUUUCUAUCAUCAUGGAAGGUUUUUGUUGAGUUUGAGAUAAAGUUGUUAAAGGAAUUGUUUUAUAGGCCCAGUUUGUUAAUUGUUUUUUAAAAUAGUUUUCUAUUAUAACAAAAAGAAAAAAAAAACACUACAACCAAAAAAUAAAAUCAUUUUCUCGUUUUUAAAAAUAGAAAAUAAGGUGUUUUCAAAAAAAUAAUUUUAGAUUGUUUUAAAAAUAAUUAUAUAAAUAUAAAAAACGAUUAAAAAUAAAACAUUAUAUAUAAAAAGCUAAUGAUUUAAAAAAAACUAUUUAAAAUAACUGAGAUAUUAAAAAGUUUUACUUUCUCAAAUUUAAAUUUUUUUUAAACAUACAACCUAAACCUUUGCAUACACUUUCUAUUUUUUGGUUUCAAAAAUAGAAACUUCUAUAUAAAAAGUAAAAACUCUUAUAAAAAAAGAAAAUGAACUUAUCUUAUGUCUUUCAAAAUUAUUUUUAAAAAUUUUAGAAUUUGAGGUAGUAAAAAAUGAACAUCCCUCAUUUUAUGUAAUACUUAAAUUAAUUAAAUCUAAGAUAUAAACAUUUAAUAUUUAUAUGAGAAAUGAUGGUCUUCUCCUGCUAUGUUAUAGAUAACUUUAACAAGAGGGAGCUCCAAAUCAUCCACACACUGGGCUACAUACCUCGACCUCUUAACAAAGUUUUAAUCUUCAAAGUCAAGCAGUCCGAAGAGGAAUUGGAAAGCCAAGUUAGGGGACACUUAGGGAUUUUGUCCGGAAUUGCCAACCUAACUAAACAUUCACAAUCUCCCAUUUUGGCAAUUUUGGGACAAAACCCUUUACAACACGAUUGAGUACAAGUAAGUAAGCCCCACCCAACUCUCAUACAAGGCCACUCACUCACUCAAAACCUCACCAAAGGUACUACAAUGCCUGUAAAUAAAUCUCAAGAAAAACAGUAGUAGCACCUGCUCAUAUUACCAAGAUGCUUCCACAAAUUUCAAAUGAAUUGACUCACAAAUAUCCACAUAUAUCCACAAAGAUCACUUGUCUAAAGAUAGUUAAUAUGCAUUCAUGAGUCCAAAACCAUGUCCAAUAUCCACAGAUACACAAAAAGGUCAUCACGAUCAACAUAUCAAAUAUCAAAAGCAACAAAACACAAAGAAAUUGUCAUGAUCAACUACAUGUCAUAUCAACAUCCAUGUAAAGUGUAAAAUGUCUCCCCCUUUUUAUCCCAAAAGAAGACAAAGAAUUGUCCAAAACAAGCAAAGUAUAUAAGACUAACAAAUUGAACAUGAUAUCAAAAGAAAGUUAUCUAAAAAGUUAACUAGCUACUACAUGGCUAAGAGAGAUGCUUAUGGACAAAGUCUUUAAGAGCUUGCAGCUAAUACAUGUUGCAAAGCAUUUGUCCAUCAAUUAGUGAGAAGCCUCUCUCCAUAUGAGAUUGGAGUUGAAUUUACUCAGACAACAAAGUGGAUUGUGCAUAAAUUUUCUCAUCCAAUGCAUCAAACCUAUCACAAAGUUGAGCUAGGACACUUGAAUCUACAAUUGAAUCUGAGUCACUUUCAUCAAUUUUUCUCUUAACUCUACAAUGGCACACAUUUUUCUUAGAACCAAGGGCACCCUUAAUCCUUCCCCGACUUCGAUUCCGAUAUAAGGUAUCAAUGGGACCCAUUGGUUCAAGAAAGAAGAAUUUAUAGGAAAUUCAACCCCAACCAUUUGGCAAAUUUUAGUGAUUAAAAUACCAUAGGGAAAAACCUCAUACUUAGACAUGAAAUGAUCUCCUCGAACAAUCAUCUCAUCUAAGAUACAAGAUGCUAGGUUGAUGGGUUCCCGAUGAAGAAUUCGGGACAAGAGAAUGCAACCCUUCUUAUAAAUAUCUACCCAAUGAGAAGAAGGAUAAACUAAGAAUGUUAGAAAAGUCGCCAACACCCAUGCGGGACGAGAUAUGCUACCAAAGUGUGCAACUAAGCCUAGCUGACAUCGAACCUCUCCUCAUAAGUCAAUAAACACUCUAUCCAACAACUCAGAGGUGAUUUCCAAUUCAUUCACAGAGGGUGCUUCAACCAAUGGGAUGCCUAAGACUUCAGCAAUCACCUCUGGAGUGACUUUAACAACAAUUCCAAGGAAACUUGAUUUUAGGUAGGAUUCAUCCAAGUCAUGUUCAAUAAUAUUCGAAUAAAACAUUCGGACAAUAGGAGCACACACAGUUCCAAUGAAGCUUGUUAGAGGAAGUCAACCUAGUUCUACAAACAGUGCUGGAAUUGAUGUGUUGAGAAAUGAUUCUAGAUGAAGUUGUCUCUCAAGAAAAAUAGACCUUUGAUGAUAAUCUUUGGUGUAUAGGUCUCUACAGAACUUUGUCGGGAAAGCAUUGAAAUCAAUCCCAUCAAUGGAAGUUUUCGUAGGAGCUUUAGGGAUACUGGGAGGUUGGACAAAAGGAUUGAUGGGUAAAUUCUCAUCCCGAGCACUUUUUGGGGUCUUAGAGGAUGACCCUUUAACAGGGACUUUGCUCCCACGACCUUUUGGAGGCAUAGUUCUAGGCAAAAAUACAAAGAACCAAGCAACCAAAGAUUGAAACAGUAUUAGAUAUAAAACAAUCCACUCAAAUAGCCUACUGUGAAAAAAUCUCACAUAAAAACUAACAAGCAAAACCAGUGGAGGAUGAACAAACCUGUACACAGAGGAACAGGGGCUGCCAGAAUAGAGAUCCUAUGGCAGAAAAGACACAAACACAACUACAAGAAAAAGAACUCGCCAAAAAGGGUGCCAACCACAAUAGAUGGAGCAUCAAUCAACGACAAAAACUGAAGCUUAGGUCAGUGAAAAACACCGGAGAAAAUGCCGACAAAAAGAAAUGAAAUGCAGGCCGACAACAAGAAACAAGAAAAAUGAGCUAUGCAGAUCGUGAUAGGUUGAAGAUCUUGCUGGAAAAUAUAUCGACAAUAGUGGAGAACUAUAGGCUGAUGGCAGGAGCAAGAAACAAUGAGACAAUUGGAGCCGGAAAAGAAAAAUCGGCAGCAGGCGGAACAGAAUCUGCUGAUUGUGCAAAAACUGAGAUGAUUAGCUGUACUGAACGACAAUGAGAACGGAAUGGGAAUGACUAGAAGAGAACACAGAAUACAAUGAUUUCUGGUGACAGUAACCAAAAUUAAUGACCGAGGGUGAAGACUUAAGAGGAUGUGCAGAGAAUGAAGGUUCUCUUCUUUGAAACGAAAGGCUUAAGGCUUUUUAGAGAAAUGAAAGAAUGAAAUGCAUUUUUGGGGAUUUUGAGUUUUUUAAAAAAAUUUUGACUUUAAAUUAUGAAAAUGCCCCUCAUCCAUUAAACCAUAUGAGUAAAACCAGUUAAGGGCAAAAAUGGAAUUUUUCACAAAUACAUGUUAGGGGAUUUUGACUUUUUCAAUUUUAUUAAUUUUAAAUUACGAAAAUGCCCAUGAUUCAUUAAACCAUACAAGUUGAACUAGAUGAGGGCAAUAAUGGAAUUUUUCACAAAUGCAUAAGUGGUAUUAAUCUUGGUGGAUCGAUCCAGCUUUCGAUCGUGAGCUCUCGAUGAUACACAGUCACAUAAGUUGGAACAGGCCAAUUUUUUUUUUAAAAAAUGGCUAAGUGUGUGAGAGACAAGGUAUAAGUGGUAUUGAUCUUGGUGGAUCAAUCUAGGAUUUGUUCAAGGGCUUUCAGUCAUAAGACUGUGCACACAAUGGAUCGAUCCACAAAUACAACAGAUCGAUCGACACCCUAUUGAAAAAUGAAUUGGGCAAAAACUGAAGAAAAAUCAUAAGAAAUACACCAACUAGCUUUCCAAAAACUGAAAAAAUUGAUCCAUCAAAGUUGAGAUACAAUAGGAUGAUAUACUUAUCUUUUAAUCAAGGAGAUAGAAUUGAUUCAUAUUGAACAAAAAUGCUUCUAAGAACUGAACAAUAGACAAAAUUAACAAACAUAGAGAUUGAAAAACCUUCCAAAUUUAUCAAAUGAAUAGGUAAAAAACAAAUGGUUAUCAACACUCUAACAAGGAAGCUUAAGCUCAAGAAAAACUCACUCAUGACACCAUAAAAUGGUGAGAAUGUUAAAUAAUUUCCACUUAUAAAACUAUAUUCAUUUAUGAGCCUAAAAUCAUUUUCAAGACACUUUUCCUUCCUAGAGAAAUUCAAGAUAAUGUUCCAUGCAGUCAAUUUGCACUUCUCUUAGCCGGAUUUAUGUAACAUGACCUAUUUUCACCCCUAAAAAAAAUCAUACAUCAUUUGUUUUUCACAUUAAGCAUUGAAUGAUUACACACACAUGAGUUUCACCCUUAGGAUCAAUUUUUGACUUGAGAAUCACUAAGGUGGCCUUAACAACAACAUAACAUAAGGGAUGUACCAAUUUUGCAAUGGAGACUUGUCACACUUGAAAUAUUGCCAAUGAGUAAUAACCAUUCCGGGAAACUUGAUUUUUUUUUUUUUUUCAUUUUUUUUUAAUUUCAAGGAGAGGACAAACAAUUAAGGAAGAACAAUCUCAAACACUUAAGGAUAUUCUGGGUGACUUUACUCACUCUUUAAUGCUCAUUAGACAAACAUAAGUUUGCAUUUAGACUAUAAAGAGCAUUACUCACCAUUUAUGCAAUCACAAGGUUCAACCAUGAGUUGUUACUCACUUAAAAGAAAUGAAACUAACCUUUUGUAAUUUAUCUAAUCAAAUCAAAAUAGCAAGGAUUCAAUAUCAUGUUUAUCAAUCAAACCAUGGAGAUAAAAACAUCUUGAAGCUUUUAAGAUCAUUAUGAGUCAAUCUAACUUUUAAACAAAAGGAUAAGCAUGUCAUUCUCAUGAACUCAGCAAUUUUUGAAAAUUUAUGAAAAAUGAAAAAAAGAUCAAACCAAAACAAAGGAAACAUCAACUUGAUGACAUUUAGGAACUUAGGAAGACAACUAAACUCAAGAAUAUGCAAGAGGAUGUCCUAGAUAGGUUCUAGAGGUAGUCAACUGAUUGUGCAUAAACCUAUGGAUUUUCUAAGUGAUUCAAACUUAGACACGUCCAAAGGUUUAGUGAGAAUAUCAGCAAUUUGACCCUCAGUUGGAACAUAUUCCAAUGAUACCACUUUGUCUUCAACUAAGUCACGAAUGAAGUGAUGUCUAAUGUCAAUGUGUUUUGUUCUAGAGUGAAGAAUAGGGUUCUUGGAGAUGUUGAUUGCACUAGUAUUGUCACAAAGCACCACCAUGGUUCCUUGAUCUAUUCCAUAGUCUCUUAACAUUUGUUUGAUCCACAAAAGCUAAGAACAAUAACAACCGACGAUAAUGUAUUCCGCUUCAGCUGUGGAAAGCGAAAUAGAGUUUUGCUUCUUACUCAUCCAAGCAACCAAACAAUUACCAAUAUAGAAACAACCAUCUGAAGUGUUUUUCCUAUCAUCCAUAUUUCCAACCCAAUAAAUAUCAAUGUAGCAAGCAACAUCAGAAUGAGUGUCAAAUGAAUACCAAAGGCCUAGCUCUAAAGUACCAACAAUGUAGUUAAUGAUGCGCUUAAGAGCUAUGAGAUGAGAUUCCUUAGGACAUGCUUGAUACUUAGCACACACUCCAAUACUAAAAGCUAUGUUCGGUUUACUAGCAGUGAGGUACAAAAGGCUACCAAUCAUGCUUCUAUACAAUGUUUCCUCUACCUUUUCCCCUAAUUCAUCCUUACUUAGCUUUAGGUUGGUAGGCAUUAGUGUCCUAAAAUGUUAGUUGACUCAAGCCCAAACUUUUUGACAAGUUCAUUUGCAUACUUGGAUUGGGAUAAGAAAAUCCCAUCCUUGAGUUGUUUCACUUGGAAACCAAGAAAAUAGGUCAAUUCCCCUACCAUGCUCAUCUCAAACUCACUUUUCAUCUCAUUAGCAAAAUCUAAAGCACACUCACUAGAGGCAGAGCCAAACACUAUGUCAUCCACAUAGAUUUGUGCUACCAAGAACAUUUCAUCAUUUCUUCUAAUGAACAAUGUUUGAUCAACUCCCCCUCUCAUGAAUCAUUUCUUAAGAAGAUAAAAUGUGAGUCUUUCAUGCCAAGCUCUAGGAGUUUGCUUUAAACCAUAGAGAGUUUUUCUAAGUCUAUAAACAUGAUUAGGAUACCUAGGGUCUUGAAACCCUUUGGGUUGUUCCACAUACACUUCUUCAUUGAGGAUUCCAUUAAGAAAGAUAUUCUUGACAUCCAUUUGAAACAAUUUAAAUUUCCAUACACAAGCUAUAGCUAAGAGUAUUCGAAUGGAUUCAAGUCUUGCAACUGGAGCAAAGGUUUCAUCAAAAUCAAUUCCCUCAAUUUGCUUAAACCCUUGAGCAACCAACCUAGCUUUAUUUCUCACAAUCACACCACUUUUAUCCAUUUUAUUUUUGAAAAUCCAUUUUAUUCCAAUGAUAUUCAUAUCUUUUGGUCUAGGCACUAAGAACCAAACUUCAUUUCUAGAAAAUUGAUUUAGCUCUUCAUGAAGAGCCUCUACCCAAGCUUCAUCAUUCAAGGCUUCUUCAACUUUUUUUGGUUCAAUUUAGGAGGUAUAACAAACAUAGCUUAUCUCAUUUAGCUUGGAUUUUCUCUUUGUUACCAUGAUAUCCUUAUAGUUCCCAAUCACAUUGCUCAAUGGAUGGUUCUUAGGUACCCUUGACUUAUUUUUCUUUGAUGGCUCAAUUCUCCCCCUAUCUCUUUUCUUUUCUUCCUCUUCAUUUAACUUUUCAUCUUCAUAUUUAUCUUCAAUUACUUCAAUAUCUUUUGACACAUCAAUUCUAUCCUAAUCACAUUCUCUUGACCGUGAUCCUAGACCAUCUACAAUCACAUUAAUUGAUUCCACCAUAUAUUUUGAACACAAAAUGAAUACUUUAUAUGCCCGACUUUUGGAAGAAUAUCCUAAGAAUAUCCCUUCUUCACUCUUGGAUUCAAACUUUCCAAGAUUUUCAUGAUCUUUCAAGACAUAACAUCUACUUUUAAACACCCUAAAGUACUUCACACUAGGUUUUUUACCUUUCCACAGCUCAUAACAAGUCUUCCUAGUGUGAGUAUGCAUGUGAAUUCUAUUGGAAGUAUAGCAAGUGGUAAAGGAUGCUCCCUAAAAUGCCCUUACCUAUAGACCAAAACGAGGGUCUACAAAUAUGCCUCUCUUCAAUAGAGCUCAUGAGUGUAAGGAAUAUGAACACCGAAGUGAAAAGAAAGUGAAUAAUGAGUGGAAUGAAGUGAACUCUACUGAAGAACAAAUGAGACCCCCAAAAGGAUGUUAGUGAGACAUGGAUUCACUCAAGCCAACAGAUGAACAAAAAACCUCUAAUCCUAAGAGAAAAAGAUGUCCCAAAAUGCCUCUGAAGCCACACCGAAGACCCAGGCUCCCUCUAAGACAUCUCCAAAAAUGACUCGAAAGACCAUAUCAAAGAUGAGUAACGGUCGAACCACACUAAAGUACAGGAAAGAACGCCCAAAGGAAGCUACCCUAUGUGAACUACAUGAGAAUGCCAAGCGUAGGGUGCUCAACGACAUGACUGAAGUAUGUGUCAUGAACCCAAGGUCCAUGUCAUGUGCAGUGGAAAGGGAAAUCUGGAAUAGCAAUGACGAACAAGCAAUAAGCACCAAGUAACCAAGUGAGGAGAAUGACUUUGAACGCCCAAAAUGAAGGAAUAAUGGUGACUCAAAAUGCUUGGAUGAGUAUGCAUAACGGCUCUGAAAGCAAACUAAAGAUGUGACUCUGAAUGUCAUACUGAACAAAGACUUUGGACGUCGAACCGAGCUGAUAGAAAAAUGGUUGAUAGAUAUAGGUGCGGCCCUGACUCAAACUGAACUGGCAGGAUAAAUGAUUGAUCGAUAUGGGUGCAGUCCUAACUCAAACUAAACACAAACUGACAAGAAAAUGGUCGAUCGAUAUGGGUGCGGCCCCGACUCAAACUGAACACAAACUGAUAGGAAUAUGGCCGAUCGAUAUAGGCGUGGCCCCCAAAACGUAAAUUCAAACUGACAAUAUGAUGAUUGAUCAAUAUAGGUGCGGUCCCGACUCAAACUGAACACAAACUGAUAGGAAUAUGGCCGAUCGAUAUAGGAGCAGUCCCCAAAACAUAAACUCAAACUGACAAUAUGAUGAUCAAUCGAUAUAGGUGCGGUCCCAACUCAAACUAAACACAAAUUGACAAGAAAAUGAUAGGAAAAUGGUCGAUCGAUAUGGGUGCGCCUUAACUCAAACUGACACGACGAAUGAUUGAUCGAUAUAGGUGUGGUCCCAAAAAAAUGAACAUAAAUUGAUAGGAAGAUGGUCGAUCGAUAUAGGUGCGGCCCCGAAACGCAACUCAAAUUGACAAGAUGAUGGCUGAUCGAUGUAGGUGCGGUCCCGACUCAAACUCAAACAUAAACAGACAUGAAAAUGACCGAUCGAUAUAGGUGCGGCCCUGAAAACUCAAACUCAAACAAACAAGAUGAUGACUGAUCGAUAUAAGUGUGGCCCCGACUCAAACUCAAAACAAAAAAAGGAUAGGAAUAUGGCCGAUUGAUAUAGGUGCGACCCCAAAAUGCAAACUCAGACUGACAAGAUGAUGACCAAUCGAUAUAGGUGUGGUCCCGACUCAAACUCAAACAUAAACAGACAUGGAAAUGAUCGAUCGAUAUAGGUGCGGCCCCAAAACUCUAACUAAAACUGACGGGAUAAAAGAUCUGAUCAAGUGGCCCAAAGCCAGAGGAUAACUAAGAUAAUGAUGUAAGCAAACUUGAUUGGAGGGGAUAUGCCCCAGUAUGACAACUCAUGAGGAUCAACAACUAAGUCGAAAGAUAACGAAGCCUUUGAAAGGUCCGAUGAUCGUAGGGAAUGAGGGUAUGCCCCAGUAUGCAACUCUUAGGGGUCAACAACUAGAUCGAAAAGCGAAUGAAACCUAUGGAAGGUCUGAUGAUCCUAGAGAAGGAAGGUAUGCCCCAGUAUGUGACGGUGAACAAACUGGGAUACACAAUGUCUCAAAACUACUAUGCUUUGAAAUAUUCUCAUCCGUCAUGUAAUGAAAAUGCCCAACCUCAAAUAGGUAAUGCCAAACAAGACCAUGCAUCGUGAUACCAUGCUGACAAAACAAAAAUAAUUGAUGAAUAAAAACAAUGAUGACCAGUGCUCAAAAUGUGAAGAGCAAGCAAAUCAACACUCAACAUGCUAACUAUCAAAAUGAAAGCAUCGCCACUAAUAAGUCAGCAAUCUGUCAAGCCCUGCCAUUAUGGAAGAUAUUGAACCUAAAGUCCGAAAGAUGUAUGAAAACAGAAACAAGGUGAUCGAGGACUGAUCUACAUCUCCUCCUAAUCAAGAGAGGGGUGAGGUCAUGUGUCAUGGUGAAAUGUCUAGGAUAACAGAAGGUGAUGAUCAGGCUCUGGUAAGAUAGAAAACAUGAAAAUAUCAAAGGUGAAAUGUUUGAGUACGAACUGAAAGGUAUGUAGGUAUCCGAGAUCAUCCAAGUAUGCCGAGAAGACUAAUCCCAAGGUAUUAAUAGCUUCAUAAUCCAUCGAAAGCAAUAAUCACAAACAGAAAGUCAAGUCUCGAUGUCAAAACAUUCGACUAGGUGGCUAUGCUCCAGUAUGCAAUGAGGACAACAUGAAACAAUCCAAUAAUCUCCAUAUCAUCCGGUAGAAGCUCCAAUGUAAAGAACCAAUUGGAUCUCCUUCUAAAAGAUGGACAUGCCCCAGUGUAAAGGACCCAAUAGGGUGGCUAUACUCCAAUGAAAAAUGCUCUUCAUCCCGGCUAUGCCUCAGUAUAAAGUAGUGUAUCCGAGUCAACAGCUGCUGAAGAAGAUCAUGCUAGUGUAUGUCAACAAAUCAAUCAAUCUCUACUCCUGGUGCUAAAAAUGGAAACAUCUCAACAUAAUCCAUAUGAAUCAGAAUCCCCGAGCUCUAUGAGUACGAAUGAACUGGCUAUGCCCCAGCAUAAACCAUCUGAAGUGACUGUGCUCCAAGAUAAAUCAAAGUCCAUCACCGAUGAGAGGGCUAUGCCUCAAAAUAAAUUGUCAUCUCAAAAAUCAACCAUCAAUGAGUAGAAUGUGUCCUAAUGCAGAGUAUCGAGUAAAGUGAUUGUAUCUCCAAUAAAAACACUCUCUGAAAUGGCUAUGCUCCAGUGUAGGGUCAUCCCACAACUCCUAAUCCAUCAUAAUCCAAGUGAAGAAGCGAACUGACUAUGCCUCAAUGCAAGGCAUCAUCCCGAAAGAAAAUGUCAUUGAUGAGCGGGGUAUGCCCCAAUGUAGAUAACGUCACCUCUGAAAAUCCAUUACUGAUAAGAGGGGUAUGCCCUAGUGUAAAUCAUCAUCUCAACUCCCCAUCCAUCCUGCUCAGAGAAAUAAUCUCCGACCAAGCUUGAGUAUUGCCCAUGUGUGAGCUGUCAAACACAAUAUGAAGUAAUGGCCUUAGGGUGGUCUUCAGACACGGGACGUAAUGUAGGCUAAGGUAAUAGGGUAAAGGAAAUGAAAGGAAACUAGGCUCAAAGAUCCCAAUGAUAUAAUCCCCAUACCCCUCGUGCAUGAGAUGCAAUGCGCAGAAAACGUCAUGAGUCUCGGACCUAGGGGUCCCCACACGAAAAGUGAUGAUAAAUGAAUGGUCACAUCGAAUGAGCAAGAAUAAAGUGUGGAUGUUGAACCCAUGUCAAACAUCAAGCAGGAUGAGAAAAGAAUGAAAUCGGAUGUGGUAUAGUGAAAUAAAGGGAUUAAAUAAGGAUAGAAAAAAACAAAGAGAUAGAAAAGUGAGUGAUGGUGGUCAACCUGCAUCAAAGCAUGGAAAGUAGUCACAUCUGAAACAGAUGGAAUGAUGGAUAGAGCAAGGAUCUAGAGAUACUAAAGAAAUGUCGCUCGCCUCUCUCACAAAAGUUGAAUGGGUGACUCAUACUCUCACCUAAAAUAUACCAAGAUAGAAUCUCAAAAAGAAGCUUUCAUACGAACUCUCUCUAACACAUGAACUCAAUGAAGCAAACUAGCACGUCUAUACACAUGCCCAAUGGAGAAUAAUAAAAUGAACAAUGCGCUAUUUUUUUUUUUUUUUUUGCGCGUACUCUGAUCAAUAGUGAAUGAUCUCCCAUGAAAUACAUAGUUAAAUGAAUAAACUCUCCUCAUGUACUGAUGUAACAUGAAUCCUCACUAACAAGACAACCUCUCAAAAUAAGAUCUCUGAACCACUACCCAUGAGGUGAACUAAGGGAAGGAUGUGACUGUCCUCCAUGCAAUGACAUGAGAAACCACCACUCAAGGUGAAACAAGGAUAAUGUCGAGUAAGCAAUGAUGAAAGAAAAAAUAGAGAAUGAAUAUCACAAGUGGUGAUAUGUGAUAUAAAAAAAUAGUGAUGAGAUGAUGUCCAAGUGGAAAAUAUCACAAUGAAGAGUGAGGAAUGAGGCCGAAUGUGUAUGUCGGGUUUAGAACUCAUGAUGUAUCCAAUCAUAGCAUGCAAGCACUACAGGGUCUCCAACCCGGUGAAAUAGGUAUAUGAGGUGAUGAAAGAACAGGCUACGAUGCUCGUACGAGGCUUAAAGGGCUACCAACGGGUAACUCCAUAUGUGAGGGUGAUAUGGUGAACAAGCUCCUAAAAUGAUGGCCACCUAUCCUAUGGCCACAACCUCGAACAUCGUGCUUUCAAGAUCUCACAUGGUCAAUACUAAAGACUGGCACCCGUCCAACAAAGUCAUGUCAACUCCUCUAAAAUCGUGUGAAAGCUCCCACUGAUGCUCUGUGAUAACCAUCAAUGUCCUCUAAUAAUCACCUCACUCUAUCAUCAUAAUCCACUCACCAUCGUCUCAUAAAACCACCAUCUCUAAUCAUCCCAACUCUCUAAAGUCAUGUGCAAUGGCUCAAAUUUGGAUGCUCCAAGAUAACCCCUCUGCCUCAACAAUAUCAUCAAGCAGUCAAACCACUCUCUCAUCGCGAUCCACCUAUCAUCAUGUAGAGCUCAUGAUUCGAGCCCAGCCGGGUCUUUUAAUAAAAAAUAUUUAUAAAUCCUAUGACCUUAUACUGGCGUAGCAAAGCUACUAUAGUAUAGCAGUUCUAGGGUCGAACUCAGGGAUGGGUUUUCACUCUAUCAGUGACAAACUCUAAAUUAGAAAUUGAUUCUGAUGAUUUCCUUUAGCACAAACUUGAAAUUUAAAAGAAAAUAAAAUUGUUUUGAAAGUGGUGAUUGAAACUAAACUCACAUAGAACUAAGUAAAAGUGGAAGAAAGAAAGUCUCCCGGAGGUAAAGGUUGCUAGGUUCAAGUUCAGGAUGCAAAGUGGAAAAUUCCGGAUUUUUCUCCUCGCAUUGGGGAUUUAACCUAUAGUUAUUUCCCGAACCGGUAUAGGUUUGACAAUGAAGAUUUAAUCCAUAAAAAGUCAAUAGAGAUGGUAGUCAAAGUCCAUUAAUGGCUUAAGACACUAUGGGUUAUCACCUUGAAUCACUUUCCAAUGGCUCGUACAUGAUAACUAAUGGACUGAUAUGGAUCUAGCAAUAAGCAUCCACAGAGACCUGAAGCUUACCAUGUAUUGGCCAGUCAAAGUGAUUCUAAGGGAUUUAAAGCAAAACUUUGGAUUUAGAAGCCAUUUAUGGACUCCAACUACCUGAAUUUAAUGCACGGAAACUUUCCACCUUUUAAUCCGGACUUUUCACCUAGCUUCCUUCACUCCAAGAAACUAUAAGUUUAGCCUCUCAUCCUCUGGGAAAACAUCCUCAGAGGCUGUUUGGAUUCCAAGAAAAUAGAAAAUAGUAGAGAGGAAAAGAAAGCAAAAGAAAUCUCUGUAUUUCACUAAGUGUAGAAUUUACAUCAGUUGGUCUCCUGGAGAAAGCUCCCCGAGAGUGUAUUUUCAGUGUUUACAAGAGAAUUUAUAUAGGAAGGUAAUUUUACCCUUCCUUGGAUACUUCCUAGCUAAGGAAUUACAUGAGUGGCUGAAUACAAGGAGAAAAUGGAAAUUUAGACACAAAAAUAUCAGAAGAAAAAGAGUCGGCAAAAAUAUCCAAUUUUCGCACGUUGGAGUUCCAAUUUCGCACUUUGGUUUGAGGUGUGCGAAAUUCCCACACUUUGGAUUGAGGAAUUCGCACCUUGAUUUCCAUCGUGCGAAAUUGUCCCUCAGCUUGAUGCAGUUGUCUUCCGAAGGCCAUAUCUUCCUCAUUUCAGCUCCAAAUCGUACAUGGUUUGAAUCGUUGGAUUCUUGACUUUCUGAGCUUUGAAAUGGUAUAUAGAAUGUAGAAAAUAGACUUCUGGAAGUGCUCCAAAAGUGUGAAGGAAGACUGCAGCUGUGUCCUCUGUUUUCCUUACCCUGUUUUUCUUCUUCUCCAUUGUUCUUUCCUUGCAUACUUUGAACUACUAAGGCAAAGGAUUAUGAGACUCCAAAGCUUGGUUUCUUCAUAAAUUUGAGCUUUCCAAAAGCUUUGCCAUGAACUAUACAUAGCUCUCCCUCAUUCUUAAAUUGCUUUGGUGAGCAUAAAGCUAUCAAAAAGCACCAAAACUUAACACAAUUGUUAGAAACGAUUGCAAGGGUCCCUAACAUGUUAAUUGAGUUAAAAGGUAAUAAUUACUACUCAAGGGUGUUUAAAAGAGAUAAUUACAAGCUACAAAAUAGCAUGUUUUGAGUAGUAAUCAGCUCACCUCAGGUCAAACCAUCUCAGACACUACUUGGUUAGAUCAAGGAAAUAAUGGAAAGGAAAGGCAAUGGUACUGUAGCAGGCUAAGGCGAACAAGGAUAGUAAAGUCGUGUAAUGGUACCAAGGGGUGGUGUCAUGUCAAGCUCAAAAUGGGUAGGUCAUCAAGUCCACAAAGUCAGGGUAUGUAUAUGGAUAUGGUACUGCUCUGAUCAGAAGGUGAAAUGGGUCGCAGUCUUCGAACUCCCUAGGUUGAUCUCCUAAUCCUAGGUCAAUAGGCUCAAUAUCCUCCAUGAUAGGUCAGGCCAAAGUGAUCAUGAUGUAUAAGUGAAAGCAUGUCUCAUAUCGAAAGCAUAACUCGCAUUAAGGUAAGAUAUGUAAAUCAUACCCGUGAGAAAGAGAAUAACACAUACUCGGAAUAAAAAGAUCAUAUCACUAAGUGAAACAAUGAGUACAUCAUGUGUAAUGAUAAAGUACUACAAACGACUGGACUCUCAACAUGAACUAAAGACAACGACUCCAAACCAAAUUGGACUCAACAAAAUAAAAACAACUCUGACGAACUAAAAACUAGACUCAACAAAAUGGAAAUGACUUUGAUGAUGACCACAAUCAGAAUGAAAAGUUCUCUCAGCUGAACUGCUACCAAGUGAUGUACCCAUGUCAACUGAUCCAAGCCCUCAACCCGGGAUGUCCCAUAAUACCAUGUGACCAUCAAUACCAUCAACAUCCCAAUCAAUCUACUGAAGACUAGGAGGAGGAGGAACUGUAUGUGUAGAAUGCGUAGGCAGGGGAUUGGUGGUCACUCUUGGCCUAGCCAAGUUGACCAACCCUGAAUCGAUCAUGUCCUGUAUCGCAUGAUGGAGUGCCGAACAACGCUCAGUAUCGUGCCCCUGAAUAUGAUGAUAUAAGCAAUGCUCAUGUGAGCGAAAAUGAGGAGGAAUGGGAUGUGGCAAAACGUGCGACACCAAAGGAACAAUCAAUCCAGUGUCCUUGAGCUUCUCAAAAGCUCUAGUCAAAGUCAUGCCCAAUGGAGUGAACAAUCUCGCAGGCCUUUGUGCAUAUGGUCUAGGUGGUGGGUGAGUAGCGACUCUCGGAUGUGGUGGUCAUGGCUGCAUGCUAGUUUGAGCAAUGUAAGGCUUCUGAACAUAAACCGACUGAUACUGAUACUAUGGAUGAGAGAAAUGAGCUCUGACUGUAGGAGGCCUAUAAGGUGAGUGAUACGCAGGCCUCUAAUGCUGAUAACUAAUAGCGUCAACCUCUCCAGAUCUACUAAAUGAUCCAAUCGGCUUCUUCCCCUUACUGUCAGGGGAAGGAUUAGUAUCUGUCCAUAAACCUCGAGCAAUGGCCUCCUUAACACUAAAAGCUGCAUGAACCAAACUCUUAAGAUCUUGAAAUGGAAUGCCCACAAGACUCCUAGCAAACCUCGGCUAUAGGUUUCGAAGAACCAUAUCAAUCUGAUCUUGCUCCUUAGGCCGGUCUAUCAUACCAGCCACUUUUGCCCUCCAAUGACUAACAAAGGAAGAAAUAAACUCAUCUGGCCUCUAUCUGGUGGCCUCCAACUCUCGUCUAGAUACAUCAAUGUCGGCACUAAAAGCAAACUGAGUCAGGAACUCAUGAGCCACAUCCUCCCAAGUGCGAAGUCUCAAAGGCUCAACUGAAGCAAACCAUCUCUGAGCUGCCCCACUAAGAGACAUAGGAAAGAGGGCCACCAACUGUGCAUCAUCUAUCCUGUACACUCUCAUGACUGUGUUGUAUAGUCUCAAGUGGAUCUUAGGAUAACCAAUCCCACUAUAGCGCUCAAUGUCUGGCAUGCGAAACUUGGCAAGCAAGCUAGCUGCCGGUAUAUCAUCUCUAUCAUCCCAAGUCAAACCUUUAUCCUGCAAUCUAAUCUGUCUCAUCUUAGACUCAAGCCUCUCAACCCUGGCCUCCUGCUCUGCCAAUCUAGUAUAAUCAGUGGUAGGAACAAUGGGAGGUGGCACUAUGACAGGAGGUGGUGGAAUGGUCUCGUAAUGAUCUGCCAAAUGGAAUGGAGUACUAAGUGAAACCCCAGGUGGAAGAGCAUGUGCUGUCUGAGAUGCAUGAGGAAUCGUCUCAUCAGUGACCAUGCCAACUGGAUGAGGAUCCUGGCGAGAACUCUCUAUCUCAUCCAAGCGUCUACUGACUCCUGCCAUGAACUCUUGAAUAGAAGCAAGUGUAACAGCUAGCUCAUCUGAUAUCUCAACUGAACUGUCUGAACUCUGAUGUGAAUCCGAUCUGAUCAAUCGACCUCUAACUCUCCUCCAAGAAUGUGACUCCAGACUCAACCAACUCCUAAACUGACUCCCUACAAUGUAAACAAAAAUGAAUGAAGGAUACGAGAUAGAACUCUAAAAGACAACUGUACAACAUGCAAACACAUGGUCCUGAGGUGGCAAUCCAAAAUCUGGAUGUAUGAUGAGAACCCUAGAGUCAUAAAGGUGUCCACUAUGGGAUGGCUACAAAUGUGACUAGAGAAUUCCCAUCAAUAAUCCAAGAUGAAAGAUGUGUGAAAACACACUAUCACGAGAUCAAUACUCCAUCUAUAACCACAUAUCCUUGACCUAACUUUCAACCCGAGCUCCAUAAGAGAAAAAAUGAUAAGGUGAUCAAGGCAACUCUCUCGAAAAAAAUGUGAAUGUAAAAAUGUGUCUUUCACCUUUCUGUAAUGAAAAUAUGAGUGUCGAGUCGAAAAUUGAAUCAAGUAUCAAACAAAGAAUGGGGUACUGGGCCCGUGAUAGGUGUACAGUGUAAAAAGAUGAUCAAUGAACAUAUCUCAAAGCAUACAACAAGUGACAACAAAGUGAAAGGAUGUGUCAAGCCAAGAGAGAGAAGACGAAAGCCCUAGUGAGAAAACACUAAACUCAUCGAGUGAAAAGAACAAACUAAGGCUACAUGACAAAGGUGAUCCAACCGAUACUCAAACUCAUAUCGAUCUCUGACCACUCUCAAUUGGAGACUAAAAAUAGGGAACACUAAACCUAGGUGAUGACUAAAGUGGCUCUAAAGGCUCUCAGAUGCACUCACAGGUGAGAAAGGAAUCCUAAUCAAGGAUCUAAACUCAUCCUACCAAGUCAAGGUGGCCCUAAAAGAAGAAAUGGUAGGCUUUCAAAGAUCCCUAGCAGAAGCGAUCGUACCCUCCGACGGUACGCAACCCUCUGCACACCUUCAAAGAGACGGGGCACUUCCAUGCAAGGUGGUCAUCACCUCCACACAUGCACUACCUCGCAUCCUAGGGGGGCUCCUAUGGUGAAAGCUCUCCUAAUGGCUAGCGUAUCUCACAACUCUAAUCACUCAUCGACGAUCUAAGGCGCACAGUGAGUGGUGUGGGUGCAUAUGAAAAUCCUAUGAAACUAAAAUAAAACACACUGACCACACAAAUAUCCAGAAAUCUAGCUCUGGGCUAUACAAGUCUUCAAAGUUCAGACUCCAAUCAGCAUCAAUAUGUCGACCACCUCCAAAAUGCUCCCAAACAUAAAUAUAGCCCAUCGCUAGACUCUAUUCCUAAUCACUAGCUCGGUCGAAGAGCAGACAAAGCAACAAGUCUCAUAUCAAAUAUGAGACCCCAAAAAACAAGGUCGACCGAGACUAGGGACUUGGAGAUAAGGGGAUAGGUGUGUGUCCCACAUAGACAAGCAACUCAUGCAAUCACACGGAAUGAUGAAAUGUCACAUAACAAACAGUCAUGCAAAAUAGGUAUAUAUCAUCCAAAUCUACACACAAGCUAAUCGAGAAGAAUAUCUGGCAAUGAUAGCAUGCUCCAUGAUAAUCAAGAUAAUAUACAACCAAAAGAAUCAAUCAUGUCAAAGUGAAUGAGAUAAGCAAUAAGAAUAAUGUACAUGCCAAGGUGAGUAGAGUGAUCAUACAACAAGAAGAGUCAAUGUGUGAGGAAAAACGAAAUGAUCAAUCAAUAUAAUCGACAUGCCAAUGCCUCAAACAAAUACAAGAACCAAGCAUGCAUCAAGGAUAAUGAUACCAAGAGCUCUCAAUGUGCAAUCAACAGUCAAGCAAACACAUGCACAAAGAGAGGUGGGUACCCACUAAUCGAUCAAUCAAAUGCCACAUUUGCUUCAUCCUAUGUUCAAGCUUGACCCUCUGUCGAUCCUUAGUGGAGUCACCAUUUUGUGGACCCCAUAUUUUGGCUCAUGUGCUUCCAUUCGAUGGCGAGCUCGAUUUUUAUUUUGAAAAAUGAUUUUAUUUUUAGAAAAUGACUUGGAGUUGCCACUUAUUUUUGUUUUAUUUUUAAAGGGUAAACAAAAUAAGAAAGAAAACCCUAAGUGUGACUCUUUAUUUGGAAAAGGUGGCUUGUGAAAAUUGGAUUCAAGGUUCGGGGGUCUAGAUACUUAUUGGGAAGGUACGGUAAAGAUCGUAGCAUCCCUCUAAGUCCCUAAAAAUGGGUCUCUACUAAUAAAUUGAAGCAAUCAUGGCAAUUGGUAAGAAGAUCAAUGGAUACUCAAAUCGAUCAUGCCCGUAUGAGAAUCAGAACAUGCAUAGAGAAUGAAUAGAAUAGGAGUGGAUGCGUACCUGGACAACGAGCCACAAUGUGCUAUCAAGAAAUGAGGUUAGUGCACAAAUAAUGACAUAAAACAUAGCUCACAUGCCACUAAAUCGAGCAAGAAAUCCUUCGAUAUCACAAUUCGCUCAAAUUUAUUUUUUAAAUCUCGAAUGUUGGGCCCCCACCAAAGCCCAUUUUAUUUUUCAUGAAUCAAUUCCAAUAACUCCAUUAUUCGGAAUCACGAAAUUUAGUUCUUGCUUAUUUUAAAAACAGAUGAGAUGUGAGAAUUGCUCGCCAGAAAGGAAGAUGACGGCGAAAUUUUAUUGAAAAACGAGUUUUUAGAACCUAAGAAAAAUGUUAAGGAUGGAAAAAUUUGGAGAUUUGAAAUUAAUUAAAAACCAUAAUGGAAGAAUUUAUUUACAAAAAAGGGUUUAGGAAAACUAUUUUAAAAAAAAAUGAUGAAAUGAGAAAUGGCACGUGGCAUAGGGGUGGCCAUGCUAAGGGCGUUCUUUUCUGGCCCAAGCUGAAAAUACACUCCUUCAGUUACCCUUCUUUUCAGGUAUAACACCUUCAUUGGAAGAAAUAGCUUCUACACCAUACUCUGGUAAACAAGGACCAAUAACAAUGCCUAUAUCUGCCUCAAGUAGGCAAACUAAGUCAUCCAUUGAACCUCCAAUCUAAACUGUCAAGUGCUCUGUGUCAUCAUUGCAUCCCUCCUUUAAGAUAUCCUUAAAUAUCACCUGUGGAAAUGGAUUCUUCAUAAGCCAACUCAUUUAAAUAUACUCUCAAAACACCUAGAUCACCUGAUGAAAAUGCUGAUCUAAUGAAAUCGCCACACCAACAGUAUGAAAGUGCAUGAACAUCUGUAUCCGGAUUAUCAUUUUUAAGAAUCAUUUGGAAGAAACCUGUGCAACCAUUUUGAAGAAUUAGACUUUGACCAACUGGAUUUAAACCCUUCAAUACUCUGGACUGAGUCACUCUUGAAUUGUCAUUUUCCUCAAGUGCUUUACACAGGCCUUCAUAAUUGAAUUUAUCCACUGUUUCACUGGGAACGAUUCUUCCCAUGCAUUUUCCAAGCUCUUCAGCAUACUGAGUAGAUAGAACACCCCAUGAGUGUGUCCAAAUCACCAUGAGUGACCAUUUAAACAUUGACGAAUGUGAGGGCACAUAACAUUUAAGCACACAGGCCAUAUAUGAACAUUCUCCAUUAGCUUCUCUACGCCUUUGUCGCCCUCUUGACUUCCCAUGCAGCCAACUGUAGAGAGUAGGUCUAGAUGCAGUCACAUGGAGACACAUCUCAUGGUCUCCCUUAUUCAACAAAUCACAUGUUCCGUUAAAUCUGCUACCCGAACGGAUACCUCACCUCCAUCAACUUGAAUAUGCUCCGAACUUUCUUCAUAAAACCCAAGGAACUCCAGAAGGCAUCGUGGUUCUUCUCCAUCAUUGAAAUGAUCAGGGAGAGUAAAUCACUCAUCCUUUACCAAUAUUCCAUUUUUAAAUCAUAGGGUGCGCAAGCUUCUAGAAUAGCAGCUUAGUGAGCAACCCGGAAGAUCUUGCAUGGCCUUAGAUUCAAAUUUGGCUUGGAAUGAGUCCUCAACUAGUGAGCUUUUGAUUCAUAUAUGCUAGCACUUCCGAGGAAAUUUGACAACACGAUGGCCGAUAGAUGAAAAGGGUAUGAGCGGAAUUCUAGAACCAGAUUUUCCAAAUAAAAUGGGAGAAUCAAGUAUGAGUGAAAAUACCGAACUCUGCGAACCUGUCAGGCGAAUGGGAUCCAGAAUCACUUUGUUAUUACUAAAAUUGAAUUCAUUGAAGCAAAAAGUGGCAGACACCUGGUCAACAGAUUCACCAUCCAUUCUCUGAACAGCUUGAACAUACUCUUACAUUGGCUUGUUUGAUUCCCGCUUUUGUGAGAGGCUUCCAACACUUAUGGAGGUUUUGACAGACUGUUCCUGCUUAUUAGGCCAACUAGAGAAUACAUUUUGAAAACUACAGGUAUCAUCAUAAUCGUUUGAAUUCCUCUCAUAUGUUCUUAAAGAAGGUUCUUUAGUCAUCUUCACCACAUGAGUAGCCCAUGAAUCUCAGCACUGAAGCUACAACAGCAGGCAUUGAGACUUCCUCACCCAUCAGGCGUGCUACAUAUGUCUUAUGUAUCAGAGCUGCACUCUGAAGCUCUCCAGCUAUGUCUGAAUUUCCUUCCACAAGUUCUGCCACAAGACCUGCACUGACAAGGAAAGAUUUCUAGUUUGGUGGGCAAGCAUUGAUUUCAUGCUCAUCCCAUCGACAUUUGCCAACAUAAUACAAUUCGGUGCUUCAACUGGUAUAUCAAUAUUUUCAAGCUCCGAAAUGUGACUAAAUGAAUCUUGUGUGUAGAAAAACCAUCCAUAACCCCAUGAAAUCCAUCUGAAACGUGGAACUGAAAAACCGAUGCAGAAACUUCCACUUCACAUAAUCCAUAUAAUUCCCACUCACUCCUGCUCACUUUCUAAAGAACAAAGAGGUCCAUAACAGUAGAGCUACAUAGUGCAAACAAAUUAUUCAACCCAUCAUCAAAAUUCAAACACCAUAAUGAAGUCUCUCUGUCUAUAUGAACUAAUUGUAAGUGACUUUCGUUUCCGUUCUAAAAGCAUCGAGAAACGCGGCCCGGCUGCCGAAUCAUGACCAGGAGGCGUGCCAUGCUGAUAGGUCCCCUUACACCUUUAAAUUCAUGCUCGCAUGAAGUUUUCAUAGAAUUCGAGGAAUCUAGGGUCUUGGCAAGGAAUUAUGGGCGUUGGAAUUUGAAAGGUGUUUGCCAAAGACAAGAAAAACAGUAAUGAAGGAACACAUAAGGUGGAUUGCAUGGGAAUUAUAGACGAUUUUUUAUUAUGAGUUUUAGUCAAUGGGAGCCCGGUUUGUAAAACAAGAGUUAAUGAAGCAACGUAUGGAAGGUUCGGGCAAUAGGUAGCUUCAAUGGGUAUGAAUAUUCGGGAAUGAUGAGCUUGGCAUGACGCCUUAGGCAUGGAGCGAUGCUGCUCGAGGCUUAGAUAUGACAAAAAAAAUGAUGUGAAUUGAGGGCUCGGAGAAGGGUUUAGGGUGACCCUUACAUGGUGCGGAGGAUGAAGAUAGUGAGAGAGGCGUGUUUAGUGGGUUUGGAAAUAUGAGGGAAUGCAGUGAUAUGGGUAUGGUUGUGGUGUAGAGAGAGAAGGGUGAUAAGAAGAAGAAUGGGUAAUGUUGGAUAUUGGAGGGUGGUGAUAUGCAUGAGUGGUAAUGGACAUGCACGUGGUGUAGAGAGAGAAGGGCAUGGGGGACAUGACGAGUGUAGGGAUAUGGGCAUAAUGGAAUAUGAGGUAUGAUGAGGGCAUGACGAACCUUUGCUCAAAUUUCGACUGUAGCUUGGACUUUAAUGGAAUAUUCUCCAUUGGCACAACUUCUUCUUCUCCCUUUAGUGGAGCGUCACUACCAUCAGGAGCCAUUCCAUCAUGUAAACUAAUAUCAACUCUCUCCACUUCAUUCUUUGGCUAUUGGAAAGGCGCUCUGAUCUUUGCGCUUCAAAGUAAGGAAUGCUCUUGGUCAGAGCUCGGCCAUAGUUAUGGCUGGCAAGAACAAAAGAGCAGGAAACGAUCAUCAUUUUAUAGGAAUGGAGAAGCCACAGUAAUAAGCCUCACAAGCUCCUCCAUAGCAACAAAAACCAGAGUUCCAAUCUAUAAACAAAACCUAAAUGUCGAAACGUAACGAUCUGCUCAAAAGCGAACCCAAAAUAGUGACCUUGUUCAAAGAAGUUAGGGUCUUAUGUGCUUUAGCAGGAACAUCAGCAAAGUAUAUCAUAGCAGGAACGCUCAAAUAGGUAUAGUAGACUUUAAUUCUAGGUACACCUGAGUGAAGGCCUGAUAACUUCAUGAAAGGGAAGUCGGAUCCACUGAACCUUACUUCAGUUGCUAUAAUUUCCAUCGAUUAGAUAGUCAAAACAAUAGCACGUCCACCUGUUACUCUUUACAUUUCCACCUUAGUAGUUCCUUGUUUUCUCAGGUAGAGACGUGGGAACUGAUGCACGUUGUGGGCGAGUAGCAGGAACAGGGGAAAACGGCAAAACAUAGCACAAAUAAUAGAAGCAAAUUGAACCCAUACAAGCCUCAUUUCAUGUAUCGAUCAAUGAGCUCAGAUGUAGGGUGGAUGAGAUCAAAUGAGUAUCAAAUAAAAGGUAAAACAUGGUUACAAAAUAUCUCAUGAGGAAGUCAAAACAGGGCAAACUAAUCUUCAGCAAAAACCAUUAGCAAAAUAUGAACAUGCUCACUCCCAAGCAACAAAUAUGAUCUGAGAAUCAACCAAAUAAAAAAAAAAAGAGUAGAAAAGUAUACCGGUUGAAGCUAAUGAGGAAUCCACAAUAAACGUACCUGAAAAUGCCUUUCUCCAGCAAAGUGUGAUAGAUUUCUAACUGGUCUUGCUCCAAAAAUUCUCCAGAUAACUCACGAAUUGCUCCACUGGUUCUUUUUCUUGUCUGCAAUCCUUUAAAAACGACCACUACAAAGGAAUUUCUUCCUUAGCUCUGAUGGUCAGCAGUUCUCUACUCAAAGAACACUCCCCCCUCUCCAUUUUUUGGUUUCCCCUUCAAGCAAAAGAAUACUCCCUAAAAAUCUCUCCCCACCAACCAGCCCCCUCUCUCAUUUUCCUCAGGUUCUCUCAUCUCCCGCUUCAGAAAAAUCCCCUCUCUCAUACACUCCUCACUACAGCAACAAAAAAACACCACUUUCUCAAAUAACUGCCUACAGCUUUUUCCCUAACCCCUAGCUCCCAAUCAAAACACUCCUCCUCUCAUACUAACGGCAUCCCCUCUCCUCCUCUGGCAACAACCAAAGAUGUUCCUCCAUAACGGCCGGAAGAUUCUCAUGCCACGCGUCAGCCGUUGAUUGCCUCCAGAAAAUAUCACUGCCCAUGCACCCUCUCAUGCACAUGUUCCCAAAAAUAAAAGUAAAAAAGUGGUAAAGGAUGCUCCCUAAAAUGCCCUUACCUAUAGACCAAAACGAGGUCUACAAAUACCCUUUUUCAUUUUGAAUUUUCAAACUACUAUCCUUGAAAUUUAUUAAUGUCUCACUCUUAUCUCUUAGGAAUACAACCCAUGCAUAACUAGAAUAGUCAUCAACCAUCACCAAAAUGCAUUUCUUGCCACCUAAACUCUUAGUUCUCAUUGGUCCCAUGAGGUCCAUGUGUAAGAGUUCUAAAGGUUUAGAGGUCAAAAUUUCAUCAAAUCUCUUAUGUGUAUUCCUAGUUUUUUUUUCUCUUUUGACAAGUACUACAAAUAGGAUUAGAGAGUUUUCCAAGCUUAGGAAUCCCUUUGAUGACUUCAUUAUUAGCAACUUUCAUCAAGUCACAGUAGUUUAAAUGACCCAACCUAUGGUGCCACAAAUCGAUUGAUUCAACUUUUGAACUACCACACACAAGGGAAGAAGAAGAAGAGGUAGAAGGAUUUUGAAAAAUGGCAUAGCAAUUAUUAGAAGUUCUCAAACCAAUCAUCACACAAUUUCCAUUCAAAUAAAAUACUUUACAUAAAUUUUUUGAAAAUUGAACAUUGAACUUCUUGUCACAUAUUUGACUAAGGGUAAUCAAGUUAGCUUUCAAUCAUUCCACAUACAAGACUUCUUCAAGGUUAGGGAUCCCAAGAGCACAAAUUGUGUCUUUCCCUUUCACAUUAGUAACAUUAACAUCACCAUAAGUCACAUUUUCUCCAUCAAAUUUAGUGAAAUUAGUGAAUAAUUAUCUAUUACCUGUCAUAUGACGUGAACAACCACUAUAAAAAUACCAUGAGUAUGACUCACUAGCUCUAAGUGCAAUGUGAACAACAAGGCAAUUAAGCUCAUGCUUUUUCACCCAUAUUUGUUUGACAUUUGUGACUUGGGUCAUUCCAUUGGAAGUGCUUCCUUGGAAACCACUAUGAUGAGGGACAUUGGAAUCCCUCUUGAACACUCUCUUGCCUUUUUGUAACAACCUAUUUCUCAAAGUGAAUGAUUCAUUCAUUAGGUUGGUCAACUUCAUUUAGAAACUCUCAAACAUCCUAGCAUUACAUCUAUCAACGGUGUGUCCCAUUUUAGUGCAAUGAGUGUAAUGAAGUUUCAAUUUAGGAAGAAUUUUCUUAGGAACCACUCCUUCACAAAGCUUGAAAAUUUUUUUUUUACUACUACUUGAAUUAACAAAACCUAAGCCUCUUUUAUCAAAUAAUUUCCUCCUUGAAUUAAUCAAGUCACUAAGUCUUUUAGAACUAGGAUGUGACUCUUCUUUCCUAAGACUCAACUCAUUCUUAAACACUUGAUUUUCACUCUUCAAUUCAUCACACAUUUUUUUCAUGUCAAAGUGUUCACCCUCAAAAAAGGCAAUUUUAUCUAACAAAGACUUUUUCCCUCCCUUUAGAGUUUUAAUCUCAUUGAUUAAACUCCUUUUAGAAGCCUUCCAUUCAACUUGCUCCUGUUUGAGACUUAAGCACUUCUUGUACAAAGUCUCAUAUGUAGAGUCAAAACUCAUCUCAUCACAAUUGGAGUUACUUGACUCACAAGACUCACUAAGAACCUCUUUCUUGAGUGGGUCCUCAAUGACACUUGCUAUAAAGGCUGUGAAAUCAGUGCAUUAUUCACUAGCAUUGGAUUCUUUUUCACUUGAUUAACAUGAUUCUGUGUCACUCCAAGUGACUUGCAUGACUUUCUUUCCUUUUUUCUUUGAGGGACAUUUGGUGGCUUAGUGUGUUUUCCCCCCACACUUGAAGCACUCAACCUCAAGGUCCUUUUUGACACUCUUGUCUUUUAUAUUUGAUUUUCCCAUUGAAUUGUUCCAUUUUUUAGCAUAUUCCUUGGACUUCUUCUUAUAUUUCCUGAACUUCAUGUAUUUUUUGAAUUUUCUAGCAAAUCUAACAACUUCCCCAUCCGACAUUUUCUUAUAUACUUUUAAAAAUUAUAUAAAAAGUAGUGGAGGAGUCUGAAGGUACCUAUCCGAGGGUAGGUAAAUGAACAAAUUACUUGUGUGGGCUAAUGGUAAUUAUUAAAAUUCACAUUUUAUCUUGAAAAAGUAAACAAAUCCCUAUUUGUACAAAAUUUUUAAGGGGGAACUUAGACCAGAAGUGGGCAAUAAAGAAGUGAAUAGAGGUGGUAGGGGGCGUCAUCCAGCUGGACCCUCAAAUGCAAAAUAAAGAAGUCAAUAGACGUGGUGGGGUGGCUGUGGACCCUCAAAUGCAAAAUAAAGAAGUCAAUAGACGUGGUGGGCUGUCAUCCAGCUGGACUCUCAAAUGCAAAAAUGGAGAUUCGGUUAUCCCGAAUCACUAGUCACAAGUCGCGAGGGGUGUGCGGCUUGGCAAUAGCAGCUGAUGUGACACUUGAUACAACCUCAAUGUCCCAAUGCUGACUGCCAGUUGGAUCGUCAACGCUUCCCGAUAUUAUUUCUAUAUUACAAUUAAUUAUUUGGAAUUAUAAUAAUAUGAAGGGAUAAAGAAAAAGACAAAAAAAAACGAUGGAGUUUAAAACAACAAUGGCUGGAGCAUGAUUGAGGCAAAUUAGCUUUAGUUAACGGUCCCAUGUUCUAACUGUGCUCAUUCAUCAAUUUCAUUGGUAAAAUAUUAUUAAAAAAAAUUAAAUUAAUAACCUUUUUCAAAAACCAUGUCUAUUUAGUAAAAUAAAAUAAAACUUUCCUAUAUUAUUAUGGUAGAAGAUGGUAAAGUAUCCUCUAAAGAAAAAAAGAAUUGAUCAUAAAAAUCAAAUAAAAUAAUAUAAAAACACUCUAAAUAAAAUUAGGAAAAACUUUAUAUAUGAGAGAAAAAUUAAGCUAAAUAAAUUUGAAGACGUAAAUAAAAAAAAUUAUUCAUUUUAAAUAUAAUUAUUUUUUUUCUUUCUACCCUUCCUCUCUAAUUUUUUUUCCCUUACAUCUUCCUCAAAAUUUAUAGAAGCCAAGAGGGCAUAUGCAAGUAAGAAAUGAUGUAAAAAGGGGAGAUGGAUCUAAUUGGACAAUAAAUGAUGUAAACCAACUCCUCUAUUCUGCUUGAUUCAUCAUCCCAAAGCUCUCCACACUCAUCAUUUCCCUCAAAAGUAGCUGGUUCUUAAUCCUCAUUGACAAAACCAUGGGCAACAUUUGCUCCAUUUCACUCCCCGUUGACCGCAUUGUCUCUAGCUUCUGGGAUGGCACUACUGAGCAUGCAAAUUACCUGCGCAAACUCCCUGAAAAUCUGGUAGAAUUGGGAACCGCUUGUGAAAGAUUGAGGGAGUUAAGGAACGAUGUGAAGAAGAAGGUGGAUAUUGCUGAGAGGGAACAAAUGCAGCCGCUGGACCAAGUACAAGGGUGGCUUUCAAGGGUUGAAACUCUGGAAACUCAAGUCACUCAACUGAUUGGAGAUGGCACCGAGGAGGUUGACAAGAAAUGUCUCGAUGGUUCCUGUCCUAGGCAUUGUAGGACCAGAUACAAGUUGGGGAAGAGAGUAGCUAGAAAGUUGAAAGAAGUGGACAUUCUAAUGAGCCAAAGACCUUCGGAUGUGGUGGCUGAGAGGUUACCUUCACCUCGCCUAGGUGAAAGGCCUAGUGAAGCAACCGUCGGCAUGAAUUCCAGAAUUGGUAAGGUUUGGAGCAGCCUUCAUCAAGAACAAGUGGGAAUUAUCGGCCUAUAUGGAUUAGGAGGAGUUGGGAAAACCACCCUCUUAACCCAAAUCAAUAAUGCUUUUACUAAAAGAACCCAUGAUUUUGAUUUUGUGAUCUGGGCAACAGUUUCCAAAAAUGUAAACCUUGAAAACAUUCAGGACGACAUCUGGAAGAAGAUAGGGUUUUGUGAUGAUAAAUGGAAAAACAAAAGUCGAGAUGAGAAAGCUACGAGCAUAUGGAGAGUCCUGAGCGAAAAGAGGUUUGUGCUGUUGCUAGAUG
rnacentral:lncRNA from 1 species